rnacentral:lncRNA from 1 species
CCUUUAGAAGCAACAGGUGGGGAAACCAAGAGAAGGCUUCGCCUUUUCUUAUCUUCUUCCCGGCACAAAAAGAGGGAUUAGUAUUAUUGACCCCAUGAGAAAGCACUAACACCUUCCUCGUUGGGGCUCCGCGCACUGGGUCCGCGACAGGAAACUACAGGUCCUUAUGAUGAGUGAGUGGGGGUUGCUCAAUUGACUACACUAUUGGUGCACUCUAUGCUAUCUCCUUUAUGAGUUUCUUCCUUUCUGAAAGUCACAUUGCCUUGUAUAUUCAGAACAGUAAUGAAAUGUCUCUGAAUCUGGUAUCCAAACAUUGUAAGUCGUACCCGGUUAUAUGUAUCACCCAACAACACGUCAAGGAUGGUAUCUAUGAGUUGAUGAACCCUCAUGGGUGGUCUUACCAGAGAUAGGAAUUUAUCCAUUAUUCGAUGAUCCAACGCGCUAAGGGAAUUCAUGUUCUCCGUAUUUACCAUUACCCAGGAUUCUUCCGGAUCUAGCCCUGGAAAUUACGCUCUCAAGGAAGUGAGCCACUCAAUCUGAGCCAGCGGAUUCUCAUUCAGCUGUGCCGGUGCGCAAAGCAAGCACGCUUAGACAACAAUGUCCAAUCUUUGGUCUGCCCAUUAAGGGCUGACUCCGCUAGGCAAGAGGACUACUACUGGGAUUCCCGAUUGUCCCAGUAGUAGACGAGUGCUUAAUCGCAGAAAGGUCAGGUUGAGGUCGGUCCUUACAUUCACGGAAGUAAUGGUAAGGAAAAUUCCUUACUUUUCCAUUUCUUUGGAAAGCUCCUACUAAGAUUAGAAAUUCCCCAAUAAAGCUGCUAGUGGUGCGCACACACAAAUGCUAGGCGAGAUACGUAGUUCUCUCAACCCUUCCUAUCCAUCAUUACAGACCGGAACUAGAUCGGAUUAGGUAGAGCAAGACCUUGAGCCUCUUGAGAAACCAAUAGAAACGACAGUAGCUAGCUUCACCAGAAGAUGAAGAAAGACUUCUAUAACUUCACUUCCCUAUUGAGUAGAAUGCAUGGCAAGUUUCCACUGCUUUAGGCUACUCUACUAAGACUUAGAACAUACCCUUCAAAUCAAAAAGCAAAAAUCAAGAAAAGUUCGUCGUCUGUGAUUUAAUCAGCCCUAAGGGAGUUUACUCGACCCAUUCUCCAGUCUCCCGCACUGCUCAAGUGUGCGACUCCGUAUGAGGACCUCACCCUAUCCCUCGCUCUGCCCAGCCAGGGCAUAGAUCACUCUCUGUUUACUCCUACUUCUGUGAAGAACAGAGGCAUCCAAAAAGAGACGAGAAGAAGCCCGCGCCUUUGCCUGCUUCCUUAGCUACGUCAGCUUUGCCUGCUUCCUUAGCUACGUCAGAAGGUAGGGCCUGAUUGACAGACGGCUCCGAAGAAGAUUUGAAGUUGUCCAUAAUUUACUGAGUACUCAGUAUAACUCACGCAUUCGUGUACAAACAAGUGCAGACGAAGUAACACGAAUAUCUCCGGUAGUCAGUCCAUUUCCAUCAGCCGGCCGGUGGGAGCGAGAAGUAUGGGAUAUGUCUGGUGUUUCUUCCAUCAAUCAUCCGGAUUUACGCCGUAUAUCAACAGAUUAUGGUUUCGAGGGUCAUCCAUUACGAAAAGACUUUUCUCUGAGUGGAUAUGUGGAAGUACAAAAAUUUUACUUCAAUUUUUCUAUAAAAUUGAAAAAAGUUUCCGAUUCACCAAACUAAUUCUUAUCUAUUUCUGAAGGAAUAAAAAAAUACUAGAAUUCUUAAUUUUUCAAAAAUUUUCUCAUUGAAACAAUCAAAAAAUAAGAAUAGGUUUUGUUAGUUAAAGUCAAAAAGUUAAUGAAAUAACUUCGUUACCUAGUUAUUACCUAAAGAAGGACUUUUAUUAAAAUACAAAAAAAAGAUUGAAUCAUUUUACUUUAAUAUUUUUUUGUAUUAAAAUGAAGCAGCUCCCUGACAUUACCAACGACUGGAACCUGCUUGCUUGAUACAAAGCUGUGGUAGUUUUUCCCAUGGAUUUCCUGUAAACAUCUGAACAACUUAGUAUCUUCUACCUGUAUUGCAGACGGAAAAUAUGGUCCGGCCGGCCGGAUCCCCCUGAAAACCGUACGUGCGGGUCUCCCCGCAUGAAAGCCGAGCUAUUAAUUGAAUCAUGCUUUUGAUUGAACGACAAAACAUCGAUCUGUUAAAGUCGAUAAUUCUGAUUCGUCUUCGGGGUAUGCCGUAAAGAUAGCCGAGACCGAGGAUAGGUGCCAAUCUGUUUUACGGGCUUCUAUAGAGGUACGGGAAACGGUUGGGGGCAAUAAAGUAGGUGAAGUGGUUGGAUUUUGUGAGCUGUUCCAACCACUGCUGGAUGUGAUUCCAAGAGCCGAACCAGAAUGAAUACCACACAGAAGAGUCAACCCACCCAUAGCCGGUCUAACUGCAGAGAGAGAAAAGUGCUUUUCUUUCCCUAAGAGUCCUCAAGUACACACAGCUAUUGCUGAUCCUUUGCGAGAUCAGGAUGAGACCCUUCAGAAUUUAUAAUCAUCAUAAAUAUGAUCUAUCAAAUGAGGAAAAUCCAAGCGAAAAAGCGCCCUAUGCUAUCUUAUCCAAAAGAGGUCGACCCUCCAGCUCUAGAUCCUUAAAACAGUGGAUUUGCAUAUUGGUACCAUUGCUUCAUAGAAAGGGCAUUAACAUACGUUUUUGAUCGAUGGAGUGUAUUUAACAUAUUUAAGAGUGGUUAGGAGAGAGAAUCAAUGUUUAAUAGUAGGCCCGGUUCACCAGGUUAUACCACUGUUCGCCCCAAUUAUAGUCAAAAUAUGAGUUUGAUCCUGGCUCAGAAGGAACGCGUACUUUGAGUUUUGAACAAUAGUUAGAAUUUCUUAUUAAGUGAUUCCCCGGUUUUUGAUCUUCUUUUAGCACAUACAUGCAUACAGUAGGCCAUGAAUUCCUAUUUGUGACAUCUAACUUAGUACCAUCAAACUUUGCAUGACCGAAUAAUUCAAGGAGGGGCGCACAGCGGGGAGGGUCCUUUUUAGUAGAUGACUCGUCGGGCCGUCAUUUUCUAUCAGGAAGGCUAUGUCAUUUACAACCCCGGCGUAUUUCGGAUGCUUGAAGGCCCCGCUCACCCGAAGUGAUUUAGAAAAAUUCUUCUUUCUCGAUGGUGAUCGGUCAUGGUAUCCAUAACGUUGCAUCUUUUUCGGCCAAAUCCUGAUUUCGUUUUGCUUCUCCUGGUCGAUCGACUCGACUCUUUUCCCUGCCCCCCGGCCUCUUACUUCGUUUCGUUCUUCCUCUGUACACUCGCUUGAAUGAAGACACCCGAUCGGCCCGACUUUCCCAAAUGCCCACCACCGGCCCUUAUCCUUUCCGGGUCUUGAUUUGUCGCGUCAUUUUAGUCGUAGUGGUCAAUAAUUGGAAAUCCUUUUUACAAAUCUCCUCCUCAGAGCGCCCUGUAACCUUACUUUUUCUGAAUGGUACACCUUAUUUAAGACAUUCAGAAUAGAAGAAGAGCAGUCAUCGAUUGAUUGAAAGUGGAUUGACGGCAUUCAUCAGUUGAUUGAAAAUGGACUUUUCUUUUAUGAUCGAGCGAGGUCCCUUUUGGGCUUAAAAGUCCUUUGAGCCGUGGAAUCCCUUUUGUCUUGAUUUAGGAGAAUAGGCGCAUUGAUUAGGUUACGUGGUUUGAGCAAUCUGCAGGAAGUUUAUUUUUUUCUUUAUUAUAUAUACCAUUCAUAUUUAUUAUUCUAUAUACCAUUCAUAUUAAAGUAAGACGGAUAGGGCAUAUUUGACUAGGAAGCAAGCAAAGCUAGUCCCUCCAUACCAGCUAGCAGUCUUGCCUCGAGAAAGGAGCUCGCAACAAAACGAGAGCUUUUUGAUAGCCCGUUCACUCGAUUACCACGCUUAGUAAGUCUGUCUGCAGGGAUGGGAAUGGCGUAGUCUGUCUGAAAGUGCUCUAGACAUAGGUUCAUCCCGAGCACCACAUAGUUUCCAGAUGCAAGCUGGCGGGGAAGAGUUUAUGGUUCUGAGAGGACAUACCGUUGCAAACUCAUCUGCUUGUAAAUUCAUUGUGUAAAAUAACUCGUAAAUUCAUUGUGCCAGAAUUGAUCACUGAUCAGAGCUUGAAACUCUUCACUCUGUUGUUGCAUCCGUUCGGCUAGAUCUGUUUGGAUCUUAUCCAUGGAUUCUCUCAUAGCUCUAAUUUGCUCCUCAAGUUGUCUAGAUCGGUGUCACGUCCCAAAUCGACUCUAAAAUACAUCCUCGAAAUUGUGCAAAGAAUAAUUAAAAUUCAUGUGAAAGCCUCCAACAAUUAAAAUGUGCAAAGAUAAAAGUCAAAUGAGGCUUGGAGGAUUUUUGUAUAUUUCCUAGAAGCCUAAAAUGCGUAAAUAAAUUUUAGUGGAAUUUUCAGAGCACAAAUAAUAAUUGAGAAGAAAUAAACAAAGUUGAAAAGGUUUAUAAAAAGAAAAACCCUAAAAGAAGUCCUCUUUCUCCCCCCCUUCCUUUCUUGGGCCGGCUCGGCCCACUUCUCUUCCCUCUCUCUCUCCUUUCCCCCGCGGCCCAUCGGCUCCUCCCAGCGCGCGCGCCGCUGACAGGCGGGCCCGCCCGCCACCCUCGCUGACGGGUGGGACCCACCUGUCAUCGCCUUCCUCCCGCCGCGUCCGCCGCUCGCCCGUGCCCUAGCGCCGCCGCCGCCGCGGAUUCCGCCGCAUCCCGCCGUCCCCGCGCACCAUAAAGAGGGGGGAAAUAUUCCCCGCGAUUCCCUCUCCCGUUUCCCCCGUUUUCCUCUCUCUCUCUCCCUCGGAUUCGUCCCGAUUCAUGCCCGCAAAGUUCGCCGGCGCAAUCAAUGGCGGCCGAGAUCUCCGCGCCGGUUUCCAUCUCCUCCGGCCGCUCUCUCCUCCUCUCGGCCCUAUUUAAACGUCUCCCGUGCCUCUCUCCUCCGUUUCCGCCGUUCGCCGCUCGCUCUCACCGUCGCAUUCGUGCUCGCGCCGUCUUCCUCUCUCUCCGCCGUCGCCGACAAGCUCCGGUUCGCCGCCGCCGUCGCUCCGGACUUCCUCCCCACUCGGCGUCACCUCCAUCGGCUUCGCCGCGUUCCCGUCGACCUCGUCCGCGCCUCCGUUUCGCUCGCCGACCGCCGGAGCACCGUCGUCCUCGUCGUCCCGAACCGCGCCGCCGCCUUCCUCCGCUUCGGCCGCCGUUCCCGUCGUCGCCGUCGACCGGGGUGAGCCGAAGACCGCUCCAUUCGCUUCCCCCUUCCCUCCUCUCUCUCGGGUGCCGCUCCGCCGCGCCGGUGGUCGCCGGCGGUGACCAUCGGGGCGCGGGCGCGUCCCCCUCCCGUCGGCCGUGCCGGCGAGGCCGCCUUCGGGCGUGCCCUCGCGGCUGCCAAGUGGGCCCGGCCGUCAGCCGCCCGCGCCCGCGGGUGCGGCUGACGCGUGGGACCCACGGCACCGGCCGCCGUCAGCCGUGUGCGCCCGGUCCACCAUGGACCGAGAGGCUGACGCGUGGGCCCCACUCCCGUGGACCCGGUCCGCGCGCCCUCUCCCGGCUGACGCAAUAAAUGAGAUUUUUAAUUAAAAUUUAAAUGAAGAAAUCCGCAAAUAUCCAUUAAAGAGCAUAUAAACUUCAAAUGGCCAUAUCUUGGCCAUUUGAACUCGGAAUUGGACCGUUCAAGUCUCUAAUUUUUCCUUAAGAAGUCAAGAACCCAUUUUUGUGCUUUGUUUCUGCUGUUAUGUGGAGUUUAUUAGAGUAAAAGCCUUUUUCUUUUCCGUUGGUCGUGUAGACGCUGCAGCUUCGGAAGAUCCGCUCUUCGUGGAAGUCGAAGCCGUCGGUUGGGAAAGCGAGCAAGGCAAGUCACAUCAUCUUUGAACAUAUUGAAUCCCAGUUUGUAAAAUUAUGUUGAUUUAAAUUAUUGCAUUAUCGCUUUAUUUAAAUUCCCGCGUUAUCACUGUUUUAUUUAGCCAUGCCUAUUUACCUUUGUUAUGACCUUAUUAUUGCUAUUGUUAUUAUUAUUCCCUUGUUCACCCUAGAGCAAACAAAACCUCAACUAGUGGACACUCUACUCAUGGCACCACUAGUUUAAUUUUAGGUAGAUGCUUCGCAAUUUAAUUAGGUAACAUUAGGCGGUUUUACAACUCUAGACUUUGGGAUAUUCUCAUAUCAUUUGGACACUAUGGAAUUGUUGGUUUAUGUUGGAAUUGGACACACACCUCUCUUCCUCUUUCAAAACCCCUAAAACCUGUUUUCGGUGGGGUUUGGGUGCAUGUCAGUUGUGGGAAGUAGCACCCCGGCCACUAUAAGGAUUAAGCUCGGGCCUCUGUUGCAAAGCACUACCGUACUUCCACAUGUCUAGUGGGUAAGGCUUAGUUUGUGGCUCAGGCUAGUCAUAAACAAAAGUACACGGAUUGGAGAUGGAUGAAGUCGGGGGUCGAUGGACAUUCUCCAGGGCAAAUGAAGGCUACACGAGCUGCGGCCCGGUAGUCGAGAUGUCAUACGGCAGAGGGUUGGUGCCCUGCUGCUAGGGGCUCAGUCCUGCCUGCCUGUCCCGGGGGUUCCGGCCGUAGGCGGGAUUGGGUCGGUACUCUUGUCUAUGGCUAGGAUGGGUUGGAAACUAUGUCACGUCUUCCGUCUGUAUACCGUGGUGGUAUGUGGCACGUGGUUACACGUGAGGAAGAUGUGUCUUGUGGGUAAAGAUGUACACCUCUGAUCAGAGUAAAACCUAUUCGAAUAGCCGCGCCCUCGGUUAUGGGCAAGCCGAGCAAUGUACCCAAGUCAGUGUUAUAAUUCUUAAAAUUUGCUCAACAACUAAAAUGUGGAAUGGUUGGCCUGGGUUGGCUUGGGACGAGCUGGGACCCAGGGUCGGGUUGCCAGUUCGGUCUGAAUCAUCGUAGGCCUUGGGUUAAGGCAGGUUCGUGUGGGUUCACGGCCUUGAUUAAUAAUACUGUUUAGUUCUAGGAUCGUGUUUACAAAAUAGCUUUGAGCAACUAAAUGUCUUUAAAUGCUGUUUACUGCAACCCUAACCCUUUAUAUUAUAAUUCCCUUGUACUCCCUUGCAUUUAUUCUGCAUUUGUGGGUGUGUCUUGUUGAGUACGGUGGUUGUACUCAGUCUUGCUCAAUUUUUCCCAAGCCCAGAAGAGGAGCUCCUUGAAGAUGAAGGCUUUGGUGUCUAGCUCGUGCCUGCCGUCAAGCGCCUGUGGUCGUCGCCCUAGUCUUCCGCUGUUUUUCGUUUGUCUCUGUGUGUGCUGGGCCUUCGCUACCCAUGUAAUAAGUUAACUAUUUACGCUUCCGCUUGUUAAACUCUGAUUUGUAUCAACUUUUGGUGUACCUUGCCUCCUGGGACAAGGAUUAAUGCACGCACGUCAGGAAAGCCCGUUGGGUUAUUUCCGGUCGUGACAAGUUGGUAUCAGAGCCACCCUUGACCCUAGGACGAGCCGUAGAUCCCAAGCCUUAGCAAUAUUUUCCAAAAAUAAAAAUCCUUUGUUAUUUGUGAAAACUGUCUAGUCUCUCUCUGUCUUGCUGCUUCAUUUAUCGCCAAAAAUCUGACCUUUGAAAAUGUUGCUUUUCUUUUCUUUGUUUUUAGAUGGCCGGCAGCGUCACCCGUCGUGGUUUGGACAUGACUGGCUUCGUCUUGGAGCUGCGCGGCAUGUGCGUUGUCUUAGGGUAUCCACAUGGAGUGGACUACCAGGCCAGGCCGCUUCCGGAGCAGGAGGGUGAUGAUGCGGAGCCCCGCGCUGGUUGGGAGGUCACUGCAGUGAUCCUCGCUGGCUCUUCUGAGCGGACUUCGCUGACAGUCACCGCGGGUGGCGACUCCUUCCCCGCCGCUUGCCAGAACGCCGCUCUCCUCGCCAUCGGCACUCUUCACCAGCGCUACCCGGACGAGUUGCAGCACUCGUCCUACCGCUACCACCCUCGUCGCGGAGGAGCCCGCGACUACGCCACCUUCCGGGAUGCUAGCUCGGAGGAUGACGCUACCGUCGUGCAUCUGGCACGCAUGGUGGAGGCAUACGACGCGGCUCGUAUCGACUUCCAUCAGAUGGUGCGUCGUGGGAUGGUCGAGAACAACCUGAAGAUCCUGGAGCUGCGUCAAGAGAAUCUGCAGCUCAAGAAGGACCUCGACGCAGUGGAGGCGCAGCUGCAUCAGCUCAAGAUCGCCCAGGGAGAGGUCUGCCGCCCCAAGCGUCGCCGCGUCUGCCGCAGCCAGAAGAUCACCGCCCGCAAGAGCACCUCCAGGCCCGAGCUUGUCCGUCAGUCCCUGGCAUGGACCUGCUUCGUCGAGACCCCUUGUGCCGAGCCUGCGCCCGUGGUUCCCCAGGAGGGGGAAGCCUCCGGCGUUGGUAGCACGGAGGAUGUGCUGUUGCUCACCUUCCGUCCUGGCCCGUCGCAGCAGUAGACGAGCAGUUAGUAGGCUUGCGCGUGUGUUCUUUCUCGUUUGUCUUUUUGGAGUCGUGUGGGGCAUGGUUAUGCCGGUGUGUGGCAUAACUAUGUCGGAGCCUGUCUUUAUUUGUUUGCCUAAGCAACUUGAACUUUAAUGAACCAAUUUAAUAGCAGUGAUAAAUUUAAGAAUAAUGGUAGUCGUGGGUGGUUAGUUUUAAUUGUUAGCUCUUUCCCUGUUUGCUGGUUCUGUGUGGGGUUUCCAGAUGGUGACGACCAGGAGAAACGCUGUUACCGGUGAUGGCAACCAACCUGAAGGCAGCAACCACAACCACCAGGGCAACCCACCUCCACCUCCACCUCCUCCUCCACCACCACCACCAGACACCAACGCCAUUCUCACCCAAAUCCUCGCCCAGCAAGCCAACAUGAUGAAUGCUUUCCUCCACCACCUCCAAAAUCCACCACAACAGAAUGCUCCACCACCACCUCCCCAACACUCUAAACUCGCCGAGUUCCUCCGCAUCCGCCCACCUACCUUCUCUAGCUCCAACAACCCCGUGGAUGCGUUGGAUUGGUUGCAUGCCGUGGGGAAAAAGCUAGACACGGUGCAGUGUACCGAUGAGGAGAAAGUCAUCUUCGCCGCCCACCAACUGCAGGGGCCCGCAUCUCUCUGGUGGGACCACUUCCAGGCUACGCAGCCAGAGGGACAGCCGAUUACUUGGGCCCGCUUCACCGCCGCUUUCCGGAGAACCCAUGUGCCCGCUGGAGUCGUGGCCCUUAAGAAAAGGGAAUUCCGAGAGUUGAAGCAAGGCAACCGCUCCGUGCUGGAGUAUUUGCAUGAAUUCAACAAUCUGGCCCGUUACGCUCCGGAGGAUGUGCGGGGAGAUGAGGAGAAGCAAGAGAAGUUCCUGGCAGGAAUGGACCCUGAGCUGUCCGUCCGCCUAGUCUCUGGGGACUAUCCGGAUUUCCAACGACUGGUGGACAAGAGCAUCCGCUUGGAAGCCAAGCACAAGGAACUGGAGUCGCACAAGCGCCGCUUGGCGAAUUUCCGCAAUCAACAGGGUGCUAACCAGAGGGUCCGCUACACCAAUCCCUAUCCAGGGGGAUCCUCCUCGCAGCAGCAACAACAGCAGCAGCAACCUCGCCCAGCGCCUCGACCUCAAUUCGUGGUGCGUGUCCCACAGCCGCAGCAACAGCAGAAUCAACAAGGGACUCGUGCGCCCCGUCCUCCUACGCCAACUGUGCCGCCUGGUCAAGGCCGCAGGGACGCUCAAGGUCAGCAGCGUCUGUGCUUCAACUGCUUCGAGCCCGGGCACUUUGCGGAUAAAUGCCCAAAGCCAAGGCGUCAGCAAGGCCAAGCGCCUCCCCGCUCCAACAACGGCGGGAAGGAUGUCAUUCGGGGUCGUGUGAAUCACGUGACGGCCGAGGACGUGCUGACAACUCCAGACGUCAUCGUUGGUACGUUCCUCGUUCAUUCCAUCCCUGCUACAAUUUUGUUCGACUCUGGAGCUUCCCACUCGUUUAUAUCUGUGCCAUUCGUGGGGAGAAAUCAGUUGGGGGUAGAAAGGCUUAGGAACCCUCUGCUCAUCACCACCCCUGGAGGGGUUAUGACAGCAAAGUAUUAUAGCCCUGCCGUCCCUAUAGAAAUUCAGGGGAUUCCUUUUCCCUCGGAUCUGAUUCUGCUAGACACAAAGAACUUGGAUGUGAUUCUUGGAAUGAAUUGGUUGGCUCAAUUCCAAGGAGUAGUGGAUUGCGCGAGACGCACUGUCACUCUGUACCGAGGGCCAGAACAACCGGUUGUUUUCUUUGCACCCCCAACCUCUGUCAGAAGUUCAGAACUUCAUCAGAUAGGACUGUCAGAAAUCCCCAUCGUCAGGGAGUUCGGAGAUGUGUUUCCGGAAGAACUACCUGGUAUGCCGCCCAAGCGAGAGAUUGAGUUCCGAAUAGAUCUUGCUCCAGGAACCACUCCUCUGUACAAGCGACCCUACCGUAUGGCAGCAAAUGAACUGGCCGAAGUAAAGAAACAGUUGGAAGAGUUGAAAGAAAAGGGGUAUAUACGUCCGAGUACUUCCCCAUGGGGUGCUCCUGUGAUUUUUGUAGAGAAGAAAGACAAGACGAAGAGGAUGUGCGUUGACUACAGAGCUCUCAAUGAAGUCACCAUCAAAAACAAGUACCCUCUUCCCCGGAUCGAUGAUCUGUUCGAUCAGCUUAAAGGUGCCACUGUAUUCUCCAAGAUUGAUCUCCGUUCCGGAUAUCACCAAUUACGUAUUCGUGAAGAAGAUAUUCCGAAGACCGCAUUCACCACGCGAUACGGGCUGUAUGAAUUCACGGUGAUGUCGUUCGGUUUGACCAAUGCACCUGCCUUCUUCAUGAACUUAAUGAACAAAGUGUUCAUGGAAUACUUGGAUAAGUUUGUUGUGGUUUUCAUUGAUGACAUUCUGAUAUACUCACAAUCAGAGGAAGACCAUCAGCACCAUCUCCGUCUGGUGUUGGGAAAGUUACGGGAACAUCAAUUGUAUGCCAAGCUUAGCAAGUGUGAGUUCUGGUUGUCCGAAGUCAAAUUCUUAGGGCACGUGAUAUCUGCUAAAGGAGUUGCUGUGGACCCCGAAACAGUGACCGCCGUCACCGAUUGGAAGCAACCCAAGACAGUUACCCAAGUCCGUAGUUUCUUAGGUUUGGCAGGAUACUACCGGAGAUUCAUCGAGAACUUCUCCAGAAUCGCUCGACCCAUGACACGGUUGUUGAAGAAAGAAGAGAAAUUUGUGUGGAGCCCGCAAUGCGAGAAGGCGUUCCAAACUCUCAAGGAAAAGCUAGUUUCCUCGCCGGUGUUAAUCUUGCCGGAUACUCGCAAGGACUUCAUGGUGUAUUGUGAUGCUUCGCGCCAAGGAUUGGGGUGCGUGCUCAUGCAGGAUGGUCAUGUGGUAGCCUAUGCCUCCCGUCAGCUUCGACCGUAUGAAGGCAACUACCCUACCCAUGACUUGGAAUUAGCCGCAGUGGUUCAUGCUCUAAAAAUCUGGCGGCACUAUCUCAUUGGGAAUCGCUGUGAAAUAUAUACCGACCAUAAGAGUCUGAAAUACAUCUUCACCCAGUCGGAUCUGAAUCUUCGGCAAAGGAGAUGGUUAGAACUCAUCAAAGAUUAUGAUGUGGGAAUUCACUAUCAUCCUGGUAAGGCCAACGUGGUUGCCGACGCUCUAAGUCGAAAGAGCCAUUGCAACACUCUUAACGUCCGUGGCAUUCCACCCGCACUUAAUCAACAGAUGGAAGCCCUGAACCUAAGCAUAGUUGGUCGUGGAUUCUUGGCUGCGUUGGAAGCCAAGCCUAACUUGCUCGAUCAAAUCCGCGAGGCUUAGAAGAAUGAUCCGGACAUGCAUGGACUCCUCAAGAAGAUGAAACAGGGUAAAGCCGCUGGUUUCACAGAGGAUGAACACGGAACCCUAUGGAACGGAAAGCGGGUAUGCGUUCCAGAUAACAGAGAACUUAAACAGCUGAUACUUCAGGAAGCUCACGAAAGUCCUUAUUCCAUUCACCCGGGCAGUACAAAGAUGUACUUAGACUUGAAAGAGAAAUACUGGUGGGUUAGCAUGAAGCGGGAGAUUGCAGAGUUUGUGGCCCUAUGUGAUGUGUGCCAGCGUGUCAAGGCAGAGCACCAACGACCGGCCGGACUUCUCCAACCACUCCAAGUACCCGAAUGGAAAUGGGAUGAAAUUGGGAUGGAUUUCAUCACCGGACUUCCAAAAACCCAAGGCGGAUAUGAUUCUAUAUGGGUAGUUGUGGAUCGAUUAACCAAGGUAGCCCGAUUUAUUCCUGUGAAGACCACCUAUGGAGGAAACAAGCUAGCCGAGCUCUACUUCGCUAGGAUCGUGAGUCUCCAUGGCGUUCCCAAGAAAAUCGUAUCUGAUAGGGGAAGCCAAUUCACCUCUCACUUUUGGAAGAAGCUCCAAGAAGAACUGGGUACUCGAUUGAAUUUCAGCACCGCCUAUCACCCGCAGACAGAUGGACAGACCGAGCGUCUAAAUCAGAUCCUAGAAGACAUGCUUCGCGCAUGUGUACUAGAUUUCGGGAAGACCUGGGAUAAGAGUCUCCCCUAUGCCGAGUUCUCCUACAAUAACAGCUAUCAAUCCAGCAUACAAAUGGCACCUUAUGAAGCGUUGUACGGGCGCAAAUGCCGGACACCACUCUUGUGGGACCAAGUAGGAGAAAGCCAAGUGUUCGGGACUGAUAUCCUGAGAGAAGCUGAAGCUAAAGUUAGAAUCAUUCGGGAUAAUCUAAAGGUGGCACAGUCCCGGCAGAAAAGUUAUGCAGAUAACCGCCGCCGUGACCUGGAAUUCGCAGUGGACGACUUUGUGUAUCUUCGGGUCACGCCAUUGCGAGGUGUACACAGGUUUCAGACGAAAGGGAAGCUCGCACCUCGGUAUGUGGGUCCUUUCCGUAUCGUUGCUCGACGUGGAGAAGUCGCUUACCAAUUGGAGCUGCCCGCCUCCUUGGGCAACGUGCAUGAUGUGUUUCAUGUGUCGCAACUCAAGAAGUGUCUCCGAGUGCCAUCCGAGCAGGCCGACUCAGAGCAAAUUGAAGUUCGCGAAGAUUUGACCUAUGUGGAAAGGCCAGUGAAAAUCCUGGACACCAUGGAGCGCAGGACCAGGAACCGGGUAAUCCGUUUUUGCAAGGUCCAGUGGAGCAACCACGCCGAAGAAGAAGCUACCUGGGAGCGUGAAGACGAGCUGAAGGCAGCCCAUCCCGAUCUCUUCGCCAGUUCUUCCGAAUCUCGGGGUCGAGAUUCCGUUUAAGGGGGGUAGGUUUGUCACGUCCCAAAUCGACUCUAAAAUACAUCCUCGAAAUUGUGCAAAGAAUAAUUAAAAUUCAUGUGAAAGCCUCCAACAAUUAAAAUGUGCAAAGAUAAAAGUCAAAUGAGGCUUGGAGGAUUUUUGUAUAUUUCCUAGAAGCCUAAAAUGCGUAAAUAAAUUUUAGUGGAAUUUUCAGAGCACAAAUAAUAAUUGAGAAGAAAUAAACAAAGUUGAAAAGGUUUAUAAAAAGAAAAACCCUAAAAGAAGUCCUCUUUCUCCCCCCCUUCCUUUCUUGGGCCGGCUCGGCCCACUUCUCUUCCCUCUCUCUCUCCUUUCCCCCGCGGCCCAUCGGCUCCUCCCAGCGCGCGCGCCGCUGACAGGCGGGCCCGCCCGCCACCCUCGCUGAUGGGUGGGACCCACCUGUCAUCGCCUUCCUCCCGCCGCGUCCGCCGCUCGCCCGUGCCCUAGCGCCGCCGCCGCCGCGGAUUCCGCCGCAUCCCGCCGUCCCCGCGCGCCAUAAAGAGGGGGGAAAUAUUCCCCGCGAUUCCCUCUCCCGUUUCCCCCGUUUUCCUCUCUCUCUCUCCCUCGGAUUCGUCCGAUUUUGUGCCCGCAAAGUUCGCCGGCGCAAUCAAUGGCGGCCGAGAUCUCCGCGCCGGUUUCCAUCUCCUCCGGCCGCUCUCUCCUCCUCUCGGCCCUAUUUAAACGUCUCCCGUGCCUCUCUCCUCCGUUUCCGCCGUUCGCCGCUCGCUCUCACCGUCGCAUUCGUGCUCGCGCCGUCUUCCUCUCUCUCCGCCGUCGCCGACAAGCUCCGGUUCGCCGCCGCCGUCGCUCCGGACUUCCUCCCCACUCGGCGUCACCUCCAUCGGCUUCGCCGCGUUCCCGUCGACCUCGUUCGCGCCUCCGUUUCGCUCGCCGACCGACGGAGCGCCGUCAUCCUCGUCGUCCCGAACCGCGCCGCCGCCUUCUUCCGCUUCGGCCGCCGUUCCCGUCGUCGCCGUCGACCGGGGUGAGCCGAAGACCGCUCCAUUCGCUUCCCCCUUCCCUCCUCUCUCUCGGGUGCCGCUCCGCCGCGCCGGUGGUCGCCGGCGGUGACCAUCGGGGCGCGGGCGCGUCCCCCUACCUUCGGCCGUGCCGGCGAGGCCGCCUUCGGGCGCGCCCUCGCGGCUGCCAGGUGGGACCCGGCCGUCAGCCGCCCGAGCCCGCGGGUGCGGCUGACGCGUGGGACCCACGGCACCGGCCGCCGUCAGCCGUGUGCGCCCGGUCCAACCGUGGACCGAGAGGCUGACGCGUGGGCCCCACUCCCGUGGACCCGGUCCGCGCGCCCUCUCCCGGCUGACGCAAUAAAUGAGAUUUUUUAAUUAAAACUUUAAAUGAAGAAAUCCGCAAAUAUCCAUUAAAGAGCAUAUAAACUUCAAAUGGCCAUAUCUUGGCCAUUUGAACUCGGAAUUGGACCGUUCAAGUCUCUAAUUUUUCCUUAAGAAGUCAAGAACCCAUUUUUGUGCUUUGUUUCUGUUGUUAUGUGGAGUUUAUUAGAGUAAAAGCCUUUUUCUUUUCCGUUGGUCGUGUAGACGCUGCAGCUUCGGAAGAUCCGCUCUUCGUGGAAGUCGAAGCCGUCGGUUGGGAAAGCGAGCAAGGCAAGUCACAUCAUCUUUGAACAUAUUGAAUCCCAGUUUGUAAAAUUAUGUUGAUUUAAAUUAUUGCAUUAUCGCUUUAUUUAAAUUCCCGCGUUAUCACUGUUUUAUUUAGCCAUGCCUAUUUACCUUUGUUAUGACCUUAUUAUUGCUAUUGUUAUUAUUAUUCCCUUGUUCACCCUAGAGCAAACAAAACCUCAACUAGUGGACACUCUACUCAUGGCACCACUAGUUUAAUUUUAGGUAGAUGCUUCGCAAUUUAAUUAGGUAACAUUAGGCGGUUUUACAACUCUAGACUUUGGGAUAUUCUCAUAUCAUUUGGACACUAUGGAAUGGUUGGCUUAUGUUGGAAUUGGACACACACCUCUCUUCCUCUUUCAAAACCCCUAAAACCUGUUUUCGGUGGGGUUUGGGUGCAUGCCAGUUGUGGGAAGUAGCACCCCGGCCACUAUAAGGAUUAAGCUCGGGCCUCUGUUGCAAAGCACUACCGUACUUCCACAUGUCUAGUGGGUAAGGCUUAGUUUGUGGCUCAGGCUAGUCAUAAACAAAAGUACACGGAUUGGAGAUGGAUGAAGUCGGGGGUCGAUGGACAUUCUCCAGGGCAAAUGAAGGCUACACGAGCUGUGGCCCGGUAGUCGAGAUGUCAUACGGCAGAGGGUUGGUGCCCUGCUGCUAGGGGCUCAGUCCUGCCUGCCUGUCCCGGGGGUUCCGGCCGUAGGCGGGAUUGGGUCGGUACUCUUGUCUAUGGCUAGGAUGGGUUGGAAACUAUGUCACGUCUUCCGUCUGUAUACCGUGGUGGUAUGUGGCACGUGGUUACACGUGAGGAAGAUGUGUCUUGUGGGUAAAGAUGUACACCUCUGAUCAGAGUAAAACCUAUUCGAAUAGCCGCGCCCUCGGUUAUGGGCAAGCCGAGCAAUGUACCCAAGUCAGUGUUAUAAUUCUUAAAAUUUGCUCAACAACUAAAAUGUGGAAUGGUUGGCCUGGGUUGGCUUGGGAUGAGCUGGGACCCAGGGUCGGGUUGCCAGUUCGGUCUGAAUCAUCGUAGGCCUUGGGUUAAGGCAGGUUCGUGUGGGUUCACGGCCUUGAUUAAUAAUACUGUUUAGUUCUAGGAUCGUGUUUACAAAAUAGCUUUGAGCAACUAAAUGUCUUUAAAUGCUGUUUACUGCAACCCUAACCCUUUAUAUUAUAAUUCCCUUGUACUCCCUUGCAUUUAUUCUGCAUUUGUGGGUGUGUCUUGUUGAGUACGGUGGUUGUACUCAGUCUUGCUCAAUUUUUCCCAAGCCCAGAAGAGGAGCUCCUUGAAGAUGAAGGCUUUGGUGUCUAGCUCGUGCCUGCCGUCAAGCGCCUGUGGUCGUCGCCCUAGUCUUCCGCUGUUUUUCGUUUGUCUCUGUGUGUGCUGGGCCUUCGCUGCCCAUGUAAUAAGUUAACUAUUUACGCUUCCGCUUGUUAAACUCUGAUUUGUAUCAACUUUUGGUGUACCUUGCCUCCUGGGACAAGGAUUAAUGCACGCACGUCAGGAAAGCCCGUUGGGUUAUUUCCGGUCGUGACAAUCGGGUCUGAGUUCCUUCGUUUGCCAUGAUCGAGCUCUGAUAGUCUAGUUGAGCAAAGGCCCAUGCCAAUGCCAUAGUUGUGACGAAAGCGAACUGAGCCAUUUUCAUGAUUUUGCAAUCAAAGAAAGUUCCAUACUUUUUUAUUCCCGGUAUGGAGCCAACGUCGCUUCGCUUUCGCAAGACAAUUUCCUUCUGGAAAAAUAUCAGCAAUCAAAUUAUCGUAAAUAGAUAGUACGGUUGCGUUGUUUCAAUUUCUGUUCGUUGGUCCUUGGGUUACGAAGGUGUGGGUUUACUAAUACGGAGAGCGCUAUGUACUAGUUGACGAGCUUGCCUCCAGUACUUGAUAGAAGCCCAUGACUCUCUAUCUGAAAGUGGUCUUGGCCGUAAGCCGAUAGGCGUAGUUGUAGCGAAGCGGCGUGUAUCGUAGUUGUUCGGAUAGCAAGCUACCUGACGUGAUAAGGCUACUAGUGCCCUCCACUCGUGCCUACUUUCACUAACCUAUAGCUAUUGCAUGCAAGCUCAAUCUUCUAUCUCGCAUUGCUACGUGCUCGAAACAGCCAAUUCGCUCGUAUUUUUGCCUCAACUCAUUCCAUGAAUGUUGUUUCAUUCCCACUAAAUCCAACUCAGUCUUUAUCCUGCCUUGGAGUUCUCUCUCAUAACUGAAGCCAGGAGGUAUUCGAUUUAUUGGAUUUCGAGCCCCUUUUCUUGCUCCUUGCCAUUAGCGCAGCCCUUUUCUUUUUCUUAGCUUUAUUUGAAGCGUAGUUUUUCACCUGAAAAAGAAGGAGCAGCGCUUUUGUAGUGACCCCCCGGGGUCCCGGGUUGCUUUGGCGCGCCCCACCCCGUCAGUCCUAUGUUGGGUAGGAGCGGGUCGAGUCCGUAUCACCGCGGAACAACUGCAGCGUCCGGAUCUGAUCUAUCUACUCGGCAAUUCAUCCGGUGACUUCACGGUCGCCAAAGAAGCCCCAAGAAGCAUCAAACAUUUCCGAUGAGAUCCAUGGUGCUAUUCUGAGAUAGCAGGCACUAGCUCCCAGUGCGACUUCAUAAAAAGCAAUCAAAGAUAAGAUCGAAGAAAAUGAAACGCACGUGGUGGUCAUUAUAGCGGUUCCUUCAGAUCCUAGAAAACGUCCAAAAAAACUGGCUACGGAACUACCGAGCAAAGGCAAAAAGACAAUAAGUAGAUACAUAAGAUCGAGUCUCUUCAAAAAAAAAUCAGACAAUGUUCGAGCGGCCUGUCAUUGAGACAAAAACGUGUUAAGCAUAUAAGACCUGAGACUUUCCUCUCUCUCCGAUUGCCGCUUUAUCGCAGAACAUCUAUUUGCUUUCUAUUCGACAAGAAGGACAAGGAAAAGAUAAUGGAUAUGGAACACAGGUCCUGGCACUAUUGGAAAAUGAAGCUCUCUCAGUUCAAACAUAUGAGAUUACUUACCCCGGGAACAAUUUCAGUACAUAUGGCGCAAGACGAUUCCACAUAUAUAUCGAGGUCAGAAUGGGAUCGGGUGUUUUCACGUCUCACCGUAGUGCAGCUUUAUACCACUGAUUUGACCAUUUUGCUGUGCUAGGCUGACCAUUUGGGGAAGAUACUCCAUUAAAAUUCUGAACAAGUAAGGGAACAGCUCUGGAUCCCAAGACAAGACUUCCUCUCAUAUUUAUAUUGAAAAAUAUGAAAACUAAUUAUCUUUAUUCUAGUUCCCUAAAACCCUUUCCGUGGCAUUCCUUUCUGUUCCACUCAUCCAACAUUGUUGGAUGCCAAAGACUUUGACGAAGACCAUUCUUUACCAAAGGAUGCGUCGAAGCGUGACAAAGAAAUGGCUGUCAAAGAGAAGGCCAAAAAUGCCAAUCUUCAAGCCAGAGGCGAGGGACAACAACCUUUGCCCGGCGGGGCGGCGGCUUCCUCAGAAAAAGAGAAAACUCUCUCACUCUCCUCUUUGACUGAACACUUGAGAUAGAUAUUGAUCAUAGAUAGGUACUCACAUUCACGGAAGUAAUGGUAAGGAAUCCCAGUAGUAUCUUCUCCCGGUGUAUGUGAAAGAGAAAAAGUGACGGGGCUCAUACUUCAGCGCUGCAGUGCUUGGUACUCGGACCUCGGCUCGAUGCAUUUUCUCUACCCCUUCUUACCCUGAAAAAGCAGGGUCACCUUGUGUCGUUUUUAUGAGAAGCGAGUUGUUCUAGGCUGGGCGGAUCCUGAUCUCUAAUACCGGUACUACGUCCUUGCCAAGAAUUACCAUAGGCCGGUCUUUCUUUGAAAUAGUCCUCUCACGCAUAUUCCUUUACUACCAAAGUAAUGCAUAUCCGGGGACCUUUUCAACAUACUUCUUUUCCUCUAUCAAAAAGCCAAUACCGACGCUCGCUUAUCAGCUUACCAGUUCAAACGGGUUUUAAAGUAGGUUCUACACAUUCGAGAAGACCCAGGCGGAUUGGAGUGGUUGUGCGCCGGGGCAAUCUCUGCUUGCAUUUCGCAUUGGAAUUUCAAGUACUAAGACAGGGGAGAGAUCUUUAUAAGGAAGGCUUGCAUCUGAAAAUAGUAGUAGUAGUCUAAGGAGUGAUUUGUACUGGAAAAACCUGCCAAUGGGAGCAUAGCUGGUCUUUAUUGUCCGCUCACUUCCUUCAAUCAAAGCAAGGGUUGUCUUUCCAGGAACUAGCAAACCAAACAAGCAGGCUAGCAAAACUAGGAUAAAGUUUGAUCCACCACUUACACUGGAAGGGCAAGAACUAAUGCUUAUGCGUAUUCUUCCACGGCAUAUAGAUGGUUAACUACUCCAACUCGAUGGCUGAGAGAAAAGUGAAAUCCUAGCUUGGAUAAGAAUCAUACGCUGCGAAUGAGCAGACGAAUCGACCGAGGGCUUACACACAAGAACAGAACCUAACUCUACUUCUUUUUCCUCCUUUCCUCUUUACUGCCCCCGCUAUACUAUCAACAGGUCAGUCAAUAUCGCAUCACAUCACCUAAAAGACUGAUAUCCAGCUCCAUAUAAUCCAACAAUUGGGCUCUAUUCUCCUGAAGAGAAGACACUUGAACUUCGUCAUGUGCUAUUGAGCCUUUUGAACCUAAGUGCGGACAUAAAGUCUUAGCCAAUGUUUCUAUACUAUUAGGGAGUAGAGUGUAUGAAUCUCGAUUUGACAUGACAGAGAGAGACUGUCAUCGCCAUCUCUUUGGACAUGCAUGUGUUAAGCAAAUGGACUGAACUGGUUUCUUCAGCCCUUUUUCUAUGUGUUGGUGUUCUAUAUGACCGACAUAAGACUCAACUUGUUAGAUAUUAUGGAGGUUUAGUGAGCACCAUGCCGAAUUUCUCUACCAUUUUCUUCUUUUUCACUUUAGCCAAUAUGAGUUUACCCGGCACUAGCAGCUUUAUUGGGGAAUUUCUAAUCUUAGUAGGAGCUUUCCAAAGAAAUAGCUUAGUAGCCACAUUAGCAGCGCUUGGGAUGAUUUUAGGCGCGGCGUAUUCCCUUUGGCUAUAUAAUCGUGUGGUUUCUGGAAAUUUAAAACCUGAUUUCCUCUAUAAAUUCUCCGAUCUAAAUGGCAGAGAAGUUUCCAUAUUUCUACCUCCAACAGACCGACAAGGAAUGAAGUCAACCUUAGAAAGUAGCCGAUGGGAGGUUUGAUCGGUUAAUGUGGAAAGACAACCCUUGCUUUGAUUGAAGGAAGUGAGCGGACAAUAAAGACCAGCUAUGCUCCCAUUGGCAGAAAUAAGGAUUGAUCGGGUAGUCCCGAUCGGUCCCGAUCAGUUAAUCCCGGAAGUCAUCUGCCACAAUGUCGGGAGCAUACCUCAUCAAGUUGUCGCAUUUCAUAUUGUAGUCCUGAACAGUACCACUCCCUUGUUUUAGGCUAACGAAUUGCUGUCGAAGCGCUUCCCGAGACAUCACAUCUAAAUACUGAUCAUUGAAUUCUCGCUCGAACCACGCCCAAGGAAUGGUUGGAUUUGAACCAUCAUUAUCUCCAUUAUGUCUCUUCUUUGCCUCCUGCCACCAAAAAGGAGAAAGUUUUCUCCCUUUUCACAUAACCGAGAAAAAAGGAAAAGUUACCCUACUACAUGUAUUAGCUAGUUUUGUCUAGUCAACAUCUAACGCUCAUUUCACUAUGGGAUUUAUUUACUCCGAUUGCUUCUACUCUCUUACAGCUGGGUGCGCCUAUAAGGAAGACUUUUCAUAGAUUGACUUUGGGCAGGCAAGUUGAACUAUCCGGCUUCCCUUAAAGUAUUCACUUUUCCAGGAGCCGACUUACCAGUUAGUACUGGCACUUUUACAGGAACAGUACCAGAGACUCAUCUCGUAAGAAGACAUUUUCAAUUAGACACUACUAGUCGAGGACUGCGAACUCAACUAGAUAUUCUGCACAUUCCAGUUUACCUUUUUAAAUCUUUUUUUAACUCCCCGAGCUACUACUCUGUAGAUUAACUAGUGUCUCCGAUUGCUUGGAUGAACAGAGCUCUCUUCUCUCCCAAUAUGUUUAUUUGACGGAGUCUAGUGCGUAUUCAUUUUCUUCAAGUCUUGGAUUCAAAAGGUUUUUUCCGGUGUAGGAUUCUUCCUACCCAACUUUGGCCAUUGAAGAAUGAGUCUUUGCUUUGUCCCCCGGGAUCCACCACAGGUUGGGUUUGAGAGCCGUGUGAUGGGUGACUAUCUAGCACGGUUCAGAGAGCACGUGUAUGUAGUCUGCGCUGGUGAAUACCACACGUGCAAGUUUCCCUGCAUGUGGCUCGUCCGUGAUAACUUCUUCGGAUUUGCCUGAACUAGCGGACCGAUCACUAAGUGGUUGCUUUCGCUGAUCGGCGCUAGUCUUUCCUGCUGUGAAUUUCCCAGGUCGAGAGGGGCCCUUUCCUUCUACCUUACUGAACCCAUUCACCAAUGAUUGGAGCCCUUUCACUAGUGGUUACUCCCGAUCCGAAGCACCCCUUUUCCAUUCAUAGAGAAAUCCAAUCGUCAAAAUCAAUAAAAAGGCCAUCAUGGACCAAGAUCCAAACAGAUCAAUCUUGUUAGGAGGUACUGCCCAAGGAAAAAAAAGGUGACUUCCUGAUCAGGGAUAAUAAAUAAAAUAGGAACCGGAUAAAAUCGUAUAUCGAAACGACUUCUGGCAUCACCGGAGGGAUUGAAACCACGUUCGUAGGCCGACAAUUUUUCUGGAUAGGUCGAACUAUUGGAAGCAAAUGGAAAAGGAACACCGAGUGGAAUCAAAGAAACUAGCGGACUGAUCACUAAAUAGAUACAAAUAGGUGCAAAUUCCGACAAAAAUGCACUUUCAUAGCCAUUUAUCGUGAUAGCGUAACUGCCAAAUCAUCCAAGUAAGGAAAUCGAUAAGCACGAAGAUUUCUCUCAAAGACGAGAAUAUCAUUCAGUCUUGAGAAAUGCAUGUGAAUGAGGAGCCGGUAUAAAUCGUAGGAACUCUUUGGAAGAACGAAUAACCACUGGGAUAAAAUGCCCCAAUGGAGCUUACGUUCUGAAUAUAUCCUCCUUGCUCGUAAGCAGGAAAGAUGAUAUUUCUCCAAACUGAAAUUAACAUAAGAUCAUUGGUUCACGAAGGGUAGAUUUCGCAGAUUUGACUGAACACAGAUAAACUAUAAACGAAAAUAGAGAACUGGAUGCGGUUAAGCAUACCACUUCGGAAAAGUGGAAAGGCACGGUGUUAAACCAUAGGCCUUUAACGGAACUCGAUCACUUAUUAGACCGAUAUAUGAACGGCAACCUCUUUAGCUUUUCCACUCCCUCACCACACCAACCACUGUGUGAUACUGAACACCCACACAAUCUCGAUUUAAAAGAGAGAGACUGUAAGGCUAGAAUUGGUUCACACAUAUGUGUGGGGGCCGGUCCAAUCACUCGGUAGAUCACGCUAUUAUGUCACCUUCAUUGAUGAUGCGACUCGGAAGGUAUCCAGCUGUUACGAACUAUCAGAUAGUCAAGAAUUGACAGGAAUGAAGGGAAUUGAUUUCAGGGAUCAGAUAAAGAGGGAAUUUAUGAAAUAAGAGUUACGAGAACAACUAGUCGAACGGAAGCAUUAGUUUCUCUACGAGAUGGAGAUGGCUCAUUCUCUAGUUUUCCUACGAGAUAUAAGUCAGUUUCUAACGUACUUUGAAGUUCAGGAAGGAGUUAUUAAUUAAGACGAAGAAGAACCCUCGCUUGGCUUUGUCCCGAACCAAGGAGGCAUGAUGGCGGGCGCGUGCGUGUGCCGACUGCAGAGACUACAAGCCGACGCCGGAAGCAUCGCUUUCUUUCUUCUCCCUCCAUUUUAUUCACUACUACCGCUUCUACACAUAAAUCAAAGAAGCAUUGUGGAAUAGUGGCAUUUCAUUAAUGUCGAAAAUGUUCUUAGUGAAAGGGUUGCCUUCCUUCUUUUCAAUAAGAAGAAGUAUUUGAAAUGAAACAAAUUCCUCUUCAUUCUGUUGUGCUCAGCGAAGGAACUGCGUAAGCAUACUUUUGCGGCACCAUUGGCCGAAGCAGACCUGGAAGCUGAUCUGCGAGUGAAUGAAAUUGAACGAUUAAUAUCGCCUUUCAUGCUAAAAUCGGACGAUUUCGACCUUACGUUCACGAUACUCCUUCCUGUCCUUGCGAUGUUUGGUUAAGUGUUAUCAAUCAGCUUUACUCUUCUUCCAGCAUUCUUCUAAGGUUUGCCUCUAACGAUGGUUGAAUAGCUCCUGUUGUUUUUAUUCCAUUGAAUUGAUUUCAUGAACUUCCCUCAAGCUGAAACCGGAACGGGAUUGUCAUUUAGCUUCAAUUUCUUCAGUCUCACAAGCGGGUCCGCAUGCAACAAAAGAAAUUGUAUUUGCCUACUACUCCGACCUCAGGAAUGCAAGCAAGCGAGGCCAGAACAAGGAGUGUCAAGAAAAACAGUAGCCGUUUACUCACAAGCUAACACGAAGCACGAAACACAUGGAUUCUCUGAGAACCGGACUGACCCAACCAAGCAAUCACUUGAGCCAUUCACACCUUGGAAGAGCUAUUCAAAGGUUUUCUGGCUGACUAUGAGGACACCUCUGCAUCCCAGGAGCAGACCGCUCCCCCGGAAUCUGUGGUCAGUCAAGAGCGGCAUCCGAAUCCCGCUCCGAUUCAACCUUGACCCCAGGGAUCUCCUCUCCCCAACUACACUAGGCUCAAGGUGGAAUAACGAAAGGAGGGUGCGUGCGAUAGCUAACCGAUUGAAGGAAAUUCCUCGCCUAUCUUAUUCUUUUUCAGUUCCGAUCAUCAUUAUACGAUCCAAGUCGUGGAAAAGCCGAGUGGGAAAGCCGAAACCGAGGUAACUUAGGCGUAGGUCAAAGCACGGGCAUGGAAAAGGGAUUAUAUGGCGUGCUGGGCUGGAUGAAAGAAGCAACUACGCCCCUGGUACAUUUCAACGCCCAUGAAUUCUAUAUUUCAGCAGUAUCUGAGGCCAUAGCUCUCAACUCAGCUUCAGCACUCGAGCGGGACACUGCAGUCUGCUUCUUGGUUUUCCAAAGGUCCGGAGGAGCGGAAGAGUUUAUAGUCGAGAAGGGUCGGGCAUUAGCAAAUCCUUCAAUCCCAACUCUUGAAAAGAAGCAUUUCCUCCUGAUUGUCCACCUUUUCGGAGAAAGAAGCACAUCACUUAUACGAGAUUCUGAAAUGAUUGUUAUCUCUAGGCACAUCUUAUGGGCGGAUGUUGCUCCUCGGAAAACGCGUAUAGUAGUCUCAUUGGCCUUCGUCGAUGGGACAAACGCUCCAGUGUAUGCGUUACAAGGCAACUAGCAUGUUGGAUUAGAAGUUCGUGAAAGUAUGUUCUCAUUUUUCGUUGGAACAACCAACCAUUUUCUUCUCCAAGUUGAGGUUCAGGGUUCGGCGGGGUGUGGCUUGUGGAUGGCUCUCCCCGAUCUGGAACAGCCCCGAAUACGUGUUCCAGGGGAACUUCCGGAAUUGAAUAAGGGUCAAAACGGGGCUGUUCCCCUUGCGGCACCUCUCAGUUCGGAUUGUUCUCUGCAACUCGGGAACAUGAAGUUGAAAUCGCUAGUAAUCGCGGAUCAGCAUGCCGCGGUGAAUAUGUACCCGGGCCCUUCCUUUGUUCCUCUUCCUUCUGCGCAGAUACUUUUGAUCCACUCCUUUCCUAUACCGCGCCCUCUGCCUAUUACGGUCGAUACCCAGAAAGUUGCCGACUACUUUUUUUCAUAAGGGGGGAAGCGAAGCUUAGUGAGCUUAGAGCGAUUUCCUCACAAAAAAAGCACGAGCGAGAUAUUCAUCCUUAACAGGGAUCUCAAUUGCGGGAAGAAGAUUUUUUCUUCAGGAUGGAGCGCAUCAGAUAUUAACAUUUUUGGAUUACUUUUUUCGGGGUUAAUCUGACCUUCUUUCCCAUGCAUUUCUUAGGGCUUUCGGGCAUGCCACAUCGCAUUCCAGAUUAUCCAGAUGCUUACGCCGGAUGGAAUGCUCUGAGCACUCUCAACGGAUCCUCCACGCGCUGCGCUGGGCAUACCAUAGUUCUUCCGUGCGUCUUUAUCGUGGCGGAAACAGAACAAGAGGGAAAGACCCGGCUGGCUCAUUCCAUUGAUAAGCUCAUCGGGCUGCUCGUCGUUAGGAAGAGAAAGUCCUACUGCUGUAACCGCAACAUCAAGCAAGUAGGAUCGGGAUUCAGAUGUUCAAUAAAUAGGUUUGUUAGAAGAGACAGGAAUUUAUUCUUUAUUAGUGCAUGCCUUUUUUUUUGUGAUUCGAGCAGUUCUUGUCACGAGAUGAUGGGCCAGAGAAAAGUUUGAUAGGAAAGGAAGGUGGGGCACUUCGUUGCUGGGCUGGAAUAGAAACUGACGUAUGGAGGACUUGUGAGAUCUUUCACUCUUCGACAACGAAAGCCUUGAGGACGUCAGCGAUGUGUUAUAGGGACGUCAACGAAAGCUAGUAGGGAACUGCAACCAGAGAGAGAGUUCUAGUGAGUCCAGACUCUUUCUUUCGUUCAUCAAAGCGAAGCAUGGCUGCAAUCCCAAACUCAUCCUUUUUUCCGCGAGCAAUCUACGUUUGUGAUCUCGUAUAUUUCGCUUCUCCGACAUCUUACUUAGUUUCCCCCUCAUAUUUUAGCAAAAAGCCGCUCCACAGUAGUAAAGUCUCAUCUUUUGUAUUGGCCGAAGUGACAAUAGUCACAUUACAAAGCAGAGCCCUCGUGAAUACACGUACCAUUAAUGAAGGAACAGCUAGUACUAAUUAUAUGAGGGAAUACUAAUUAUCUAUUCUUAUGUAUUCUCUCACAAUCACUCCUAGCAAUAAGUGAAAAGGCGGCUAUCGAUACUGUCCCAACAACCUCCUCUCAAUUGAUCCCUCGUUACUGCCCAUAGGAGAAGUAAUAGGUAGGGAUGACAGGAUUUGAACCCGUGACAUUUUGUACCCAAAACAAACGCGCUACCAAGCUGCGCUACACUCGUGAAGGUAAUGAAAUUAUCCGAUCAGCUUGCAAAUGGAGUCCUGAACUAGCCAGGUCUCGUUCUUAUAUGCUACCUAGAAUUAUUUAGAACUUAAAUCUUUAAGCAUGUGCUUAGUCAAGGAGGAAACUACUAAAGAACAAAGAAGUCGUCUUUGGUCAGUGAACCAACUUUUGCCGAGCCCCAUUGCCAACUCUAAAUUACAUUCAUUUCACCAGUCCGCCAAUCCAAUUAGGAUUCCCAUCGGUUGCAUCGCUCCUGCUCGCAGUAGUCGUUUCUUCUCCGGUGAAUCAAUUUCUUCUAAACAGAAUAAGGGCGGCAUCCUGCUCUCGACUAUCUCUGCCGCGGAAUGGGAUCGCUUGCCAGCUAGGCCCUCUAGAAAAAAGUUGGAGCAACAUUGUAUGAACUCUCGGGUUUGGAACAGAUAAGUUCUGUACGGAUAACAAAGAAUAGAAAUUGGAGAGCAGGUGCCCUUCCCUGGUUGUUACCUUCCCAGCCCCAAAGGAAAAGCCCUGAUCAUUUGAAAAAAAAGAAGCCAUGCAUGCCGACACGUUUUAACAGAUCAGUAGCAUACUUCUCUUGAGUCAAGAUAAUUCCAUCAUGAACUUUAUUAACUUCUAUGCCCAAGAAAUAGUGCAACGCACCAAGAUCCUUAAGGGCAAAUUCUUCUUUCAAAUCUUGAAGUAAUGCCGAAGUUGCUUUUUCACAAGAACUAGCAACAAUGAUGUCAUCAACAUAUAUCAACACAAAUAUGGAGAUUGUACCUUUCUUGUAAAAGAAGAGCGAAGCAUCUGCUUUUGACGGUUGAAAUCCAAGCCUAGCUCGUUAUUCUUUGAGAUAUGGAUAGAGUCUCGCUUCGGGGCGGGGGAAGCAGCAAGCGUAGGCUAAAAAGAGGUGGGUCGGUUUAGUCAUCAGCUCAAGAGGACAGGGGAGAGAUAGGAGACAAAAAGAGGCAAAGUGAGGCCCGCCCAAGCAAGUGGUUUGUUUUUGAGAGAGAAGUGUUUUCUUUGGAAAAGAAGAGCUCUUUCUAAGUUGACUUGCUCUGUUCGUCCGCUGUCAGAUCAAAACGGGUAGGGAUCGGCCCAGCCUAGAACAACUCGCUUCUCAUAAAAACGAAUCCCUUUGUGCCUGGAAGAAAUGCAAAGGGGAAUGCUGGGUCAGAGCCAAAGAAUGUGAACUAUACAAGUUCACAAUACCCUUUGAUGAAAUGAAAGAAAGGGUUCCGGUGUAUAGAGAGGGCCUGCGGACGGCUGUCCGAAGUGCAUGCAAUGACGGGCUCGGAUAGGAUAGGGUUGUGCGUGCCGGGCCCUUCGGGUGUCCAUAUUUUGGCCGACCCAUCCUAGUCUUUUGCGACACAGCUGGUUUACUUAUUUUGUUAGGUCUCGACUUCUCCGCUAUGAUCUCCCCAGUAGUUCAUAUAGGAGCUAUUGCCGUUUCAUUCCUAAGCAAGCUGGAGCACCUUUCACUCUCGGGCAUAAAGGCUUUUAUCCAAUUCAUUCACAGGAAGGGUAGAAGGAGCUUCAAAGCUUUUAGCCGGCGUUGGAGCUCAGACGGUGCAGUUAGUAUUGACCACUACCGCCAAGUCCAUAAUUAAAAAAUUGAUGAAGUCCACAUAAUGGAGCUCAAAAGCCGAUUAAAAAAUCUACUUUUUGAGCAUCUUGAAACCGCACAUAAAAAAUAUUAUGAAUGAAUCACCUUACAAUAACAUACGAGAGACAGCUUUCGAUUUUUUCGAACAACAAGUCGAACCCAAUGAACAAUUCCAUUCAAAGGAAUGUUCUAGAGGGGGCCCUUUUCCGCUAUAUUCGCGAUAUUGAACAAAAUGGAAGAAAUUCUUCACGAUUUCUAGAGUUCCGGGAUUACUUCACGGAAGAUCGGGUUAAAAAAUUCUAAAGCUUUCGUCUCAAUUCAUAUUUAGCCGCGAGCAAUCUACGUUUGUGAUCUCGUAUAUUUCGCUUCUCCGACAUCUUACUUAGUUUCCCCCUCAUCUUUUAGCAAAAAGCCGCUCCACAGUAGUAAAGUCUCAUCUUUUGAAUUGGCCGAAGUGACAAUAGUCACAUUGAACCCUCGAAUAUGCUCGAAGAUCUCGAAAUGAUCUUCCAGUUCCGGGGAGAAUUCGCAAAACUCCGUUUCCAUAAAGAAUGCUAAAUGACAAUCUGAACCUACUUGCUUACAGGAUCUUUAAGAAAACUGUGGACUUUUGCACCUUUCUGUCUAGCUUGAGUUAUCUUUUAGUUCUCUCCCCUCGGCAAAGUGGAUAGGAAAGAGUCUUGCAGGUUGAUCAACAAGUAAAUCCUCCCGGAUAUGAAAAGACAAGAUCAAUAUGUCAGCUAGCUUACUAAUACGGCAGCUGCUUAAACUCAUGCUGUACCUACAUAUCUCAUUUGGCUAUCCUUACCUAUUGGCUAUCCCAGGUGACCUUACACCUAAUGGACUAAUGCCAAGCUUGAAACUCCUAUGUAGAGGGAGCUAUCUCGCCUAUGUUUACGUUGCAAUGCUACUCCUCUGUUCUGUUUCUAGUGCGGUUAUGUGUAUUACAAGUUUUAAUAAGAGCGCACUACUCAUCCCAUGGGAGAUGGAGCCAUAGAGAAAUCCAAUCGUCAAAAUCAAUAAAAAGGCCAUCAUGGACCAAGAUCCAAACAGAUCAAUCUUGUUAGGAGGUACUGCCCAAGGAAAAAAAAAGGUGACGUUAUGGUAUUGACUACGAAGAGACUUUCAGUCCUGUAGUCAAGGCGGCCACAAUUAGACUAAUAUUGUCACUAGCAGUCGAUGACAUAGAUAGAGCCUCCUUCUUUGAUCCAUUCAUUGAUAACAAUCAAUAAACAUCUUCAACCAAUCCAAUACAAAUACUGAAAAAGAAGCAGUCUACCAACUUUUCUUUCACAAGGCCGCAGGCGCAAGGGAUGAGCGUGAAAUCCGUUGCUUGUUCUUUCGGUAGCCUUCUUUCAUUUCCGAAUUAGCUUGCGAGCAGUCCUUGCAUUAGUAUGAGUUCGUUGACCGCAUAAGGGCGAACAAAACGGAAUGUACCGGAUUUUUAGCACGUACAACCAUCAAACCAGAGACCAAAGCAGGGCUCGACAAAACUGAAAGUAUCAUGGUACGUCGUCCUCCCUUGAAAUGGAACUUGAAUGCUGGAGCAAGAAGACGCAUUCAAGUCGAUCUUAUUGCAUCACCCACACCUAAUUACAACAGUUGAAUGCUGUAUUUGCAUUUUGAUAUUGUACAUAGCUAUUUACUUCUAUUAUAAAUGUACCCUUGGUCGGAACUAGUUUUUUCGCUUUUUUAGCCGAUUUUUUACCUUUUUUGGACCCAUUCUAUAAAUGGAUGGAAGAAAUUAAACCAAUUCUUUCCCGCCAUAGGCGAAAAGUACUAAUUUUUAAUUCGCCUAAGGAAUUGGCAUUUUUCCGGGUUGUUUUAAAAAACAUUUGUUCCAGCCAUAGCGAAAAGUACUGAAAAUUCACUUUCCCUCGUAAAAAGGAAAAAACUGGGUGCAGAAAAAGGAAACUUUCUGUCCAGUCUGUGGCAAAAGUAAUACUUUUUCCAUUUUCCUUCGCGAUCGACCUUUCGGAUUUUAUAAACUAAGGAACCUGGUGAAAAAAGCAACCCUAUUAUUCCUGAGCAAAAGAAAGCUUACUACAGCACGGUCUUACGUCCAGGAUUGGAACAUUCCAUCUCUUCUUGUCCACUGGUAUAGAAAGAAUAUGCAUUUUCUUGACUGCUUAUUCAACGCCCUGCCGACUUGGAUACUGCUGGCUCUCUUGCAUUACGUGAUAGAAAUGAAAUGACAGAAGAACAAAGCAAGGGCUUUCAAUGCGCGAAAUCCGUUUCGAGUUAGAGUGCGAAACUUCUUGCUGCAGCCGUUUUAUUCGCUGCCAAUUGCACAUCAGGAGAAGAUGUCACUACAGAUCCUGCAACCUCAAGAGGGAGCAGCCUGUCCGUCCUAUUUAAAAGACUUUGGAUUUUUUUCUCCGGGGAUCGAGGUCUCAUUAGCCGAAGAAGACCCAGGCCAAUCCACGUGGCCUCUUUGACCAACGUCAGCGACAGAGACAUAGUAAAUUGGUCCGCGGGCAUCGCGAUAAGUCCUCUGUCCUACUACAGGUGCUGCGACAACCUUUACCAAGUCCAAACGAUUGUCAACUACCAGAUCCGCUGGUCCGCUAUAUUCACCCUAGCCAGCUAUCUCCUUUAUGAGUUUCUUCCUUUCUGAAAGUCACCACAGUGGAGAGUUACUAUCGACUUUCUCCAUGUGCCACUCGCCAGGGUUGAGUUGAGGGGGCAGCCCGUGCGCUAAUUGGGCUUCGAGGUUGGCUAUACGCGAAAAAAGCUCGCUUUCUACUGAGCUGUCCUAAACUGUUCCAGAAUGUUAUUUGUUUCAUAGGAAGAUUCCAAAAGCACAUUGUGAUGCCGAAAGAAUCUUCGUCGCCCUCAUUCCGUAGUUGAGUUCUUUCGCAUUUCUCGUAUAGUUUUUCGUGGAUUAGCAUCUCGAGGUUCUUUGAUGGGCAUAAAGAAAUUGUCUUGCUAGCAACCACCAAACCAAUAGAACAAAGGUUAGCUCUGCAGCUAGUCCACAUCUAUUUGUGCAUUCAAUGCUGCCAUUCCCCCGGCCCCAAAGGACAAGAUUGAGUCGCCGCUAUCACUUUUUUUGGGGGGCCAAUCCCGCGAAGAGUUAUGGAAAGAUUUUAUAGCUCGUCACAAGAAAGGAUUGAUGGUCGAGUCCCCGUGCAUGAAGUCAGUGGAUUCGAGUGAACUGACCGUACUACAAAUCGACAUACUUGAGGAAGCUUCUUACUAAACCAAAGAAAGGGCAGCUCCAGUUGUAUUGUCGAUUCCCUUCUCCCGAGAGCUUUCACACUCUGGGAUGGGAGUCCCUUCCAAGACUUGACCAAAAGCUUAUCUCUUGAAUCUAAAUUUAACAUUUUCCAAAACGCGGCUAGACCGAGGCAGAGCAAGAAUCGAGUUCCGUUAAAGGCCUAUGGUUUAACACCAUGCCUUUCCACUUUUCCGAAGUGGUAUGCUUAACCGCAUCCAGUUCUCUAUUUUCGUUUAUAGUUUAUCUGUGUUCAGUCAAAUCUGCGAACUCGACUAGAUAUUCUGCACAGGCCCUGGUGGGUUCUCCAUAGCGGAAGCAACCUCUGGGCCUUCCACAAAAAAAAACGAAAACAAACCAGAGAAGGAUCCAAUUAGAGUAGAGGAAAAAGCCUCCCUCCUCCUUCUGACAAUAUAAAGUCCCAAAAAAAUGAGGGAAAUAAAAAUAAAAAUAAGGUAAGGUCUAUCGGUCCACAAACUGCAGCCCAGGACGGGCGUCGUCAUCUAGGCGUGACUUCUUGUUUUGAUCUCCCCUACGCCUAGGACGUAGUCUGGGCCAAGAGCCAUAGUUAGUUGCUGUUUCCAUUUGGUUCUUCUUUCUCGUUGUUGAUACCGGCAAGACCCGAAUAGAAGAAGAGCAGUCGUCAAUUGAUUGAAAGUGGAUUGACGGCAUUCAUCAGUUGAUUGAAAAUGGACUUUUCUUUUAUGAUCGAGCGAGGUCCGUUUUUGGGCUUAAAAGUCCUUGUAAGCUUAUGCCUCAUCAUGGUUGGGAAGGUUAUAGUAGCUUCAGUCAUUGGAAUUACUCUAUUUCUAUAUAUAGGCCUUAUCCUUUUUGUUAUUGCGUUAUGGUAGAGGGAAAGAGAAAAGAAAGAAGAGAAAUUGGGCCAUGUUUCCCGAGAGAGACUGCCUUCUCUCAGGCCAGCAGUCUUAUACUUAUAGUCGACUGCUCUAUGACGAUCUGACCUCUUUCCUGGGCUCUGCUCGCUCGUCUACGCUCCUACCAAUUCAAGAGCAAUUCAAAUGCUUUGAUUGCUUAUCAGAUAAGAGGUAAAAAUAUUCUUCAUUCAUUUAUUUUUUUAAUGCCAAAUUUCAUUCAAAUCCAUUCUUAAAAAGGCAUAGUAGAGAAAGGCGGACCAGGCAAUCUCUGAGUUGAAAUCGAUCCCAGACAUCCAUCUCUUUCAAAAAGUUCUAAAGGCCGACUACUACAGGGUGCGUGCGCUGGGACUGAUCGGGACGACCUUGUCGGUCCUCACAUUCACGGAAUGAAGUCAACCUUAGAAAGUAGCCGAUCGGGACGAUCAUGCGUCUCAAGAGGAGAAGCAUGGACUGUUGCUAGCGCUCAUAAAUAUCCUUAUGACCCCUGAAGAUGGAGUUGUUUAGUGAAAAAAGGCCCAGCAGAGAGAACAGUCAAGAUAACUAGCGCGGAGUCCGCUUGGCAGGCGGCAGGAGCUGCGGGCAAGUGCUUGCUUGGUAGGCCAACAGCCCUGUGAACCGGGCGGGGCACCUCCGGUUAUAGAUGCCCUAACAAAACUUCAUAAGAAGAUAUCGCGAGAAAUAGUUGAGGAUCGAACUCUAUCUCAAAAGAGAAAUCGAUGUUUUACUACCAGUCACAAGCUUUAUGUUCGGCACAGUACUCAUACUGGAACUUACGAGCAAGAAUUGCGGAUAAGGGAAAGCCCGCUAUAUUAUAUAUAGUAAUCACCUGCCAAAAGGAAAGCCUGACCGAUAAUAAUAAUAGGUCUAUGCGCCGAACAAGCAAUGGUAUAUUAGAGAUAGUAAGGAGUUGUAUACACGGGGGUAUGCAUUCAUGUCACGCUUUCUGUGUGAUAAGAGGUUGCUAGCUAGCAAGUAUAGAAACAGGAGAUAUGCGUAGUUAACAGAAGCAAGGGAAUAUGCGUGAGUUGAUUUGAUAGUUUUUUUGAGAAAAAGCAAUUUCAUGAAGUUGGCCUUAGGUGUAAUAGGACUCCCAGUUACUGCGCGCGAUCGUAUACUGAGGUGCUCCCCGUCGGUUGUUGGAACGACGCGAGCCCCAAAAUAAUGUGACUUGGUCCCAAGGUAGAAAGUGAAGAACACUGAACAGAGCUGAAGCUGCAUGAUUAUGAAAUCCCCCAGGGCGCUUCUGAAGCCUCUUUCUAGUCCAAUCCCCCCACAUCGCGUAUAAAGGGAAUCGAACCCAACUCUUCCACUUGCCGCCAAUGCGGAAGGAUGCCACCAAAAAGAAAGGAGACUGAUCUUAACGUUGGCGUCGGUUUUUCCAAGAAAAGUUAGAUUUGAUUUGUCUUUUUCAUGCGGAACAGAACCGUAUUAGUAAGCGGGCCAGUUAACAGAAGCAAGGGAAUAUGCGUGAGUUGAUUUGAUAGUUUUUUUGAGAAAAAGCAAUUUCAUCUCAAGGGAAAGAUCAGAGGAGGAGAAGAAUGAAGGUGUGGGCGGGAAGGAGGAGGCAAGGCCCCCUCAAUGUUUAUUCGACUACUCAUUACGGAACCACCGAUUGAUCCGAUUAGACUUUCCGUGGUAUGUUGAGUUCUUGAAGCAUUGCCGAUAUCGAUAUAUAUUUCUUUGCAUGGGACAGUAGCCUUUUCUGCGGCGGAACAAGCUAAGAAGUGCAGGCGGCUCUUAUUUGAUAAGAUAAGGCAGAUGGUAUGAUCAAAUUCACUCUUGCGCUUUUUUUUGUAUUGAACGCAUGGCGUAGCUAGGACCCCUCCAAUCAUGUUUGAGCCUAUGUUCACCCGGGGUCCAAAAAGGAGAAUUCCGGAAUGCCUGCCGACGUUCAGAUAAAGUGCAUAUCCCUUACUACUAAAGGAAAGGCUCGACGAAGGGGGGGGAUUUUCCGGGUAAGGAAAAUGCUUUCGGAGAUUGAGAUGUCGAUUUGUUUUUCAUCGAAAAGGAAGAAGGCCGAGGGGAUAGCUGCCUUCCUUCGGGCUUUGCCUGCCGACAUUCUAAUAAAGAAUUCCGGCUCGGCCCGGGAAAGCGCUGGCAACAACAUAAAGAAAGGGGUCCAUGUAGCUGCUGCGCCCGCCCACUGAGCAGCAGGUUCGGCAUCUACUACAAAAGAGAGAAUCCACUUCAGAUAACCACGCCUCUGCUAGGCAGCGUGUGGAAUGGCCGGGAGCGGACCAAAUGGAUAUAUAAUCCAAGCCGAGAGUGGAGUUACGUGAACAGCCGUCUGAUGGAAAACAACUUUCGACUAGGAAAAUGAAGACAAAGGAAUUUGGAAUUACAAGACGGAUAUCAGCUUGCUACUUCUGACUUUGACUUUCAAUAGGGAGGUCAAAAACUAGCACUUUUUUCGAGGAGUGAUCAUGGUUGAUGUCUACUUGCCGGGCUGCCCACCUAAACCGGAGGCGGUUAUAGAUGCCCUAACAAAACUUCAUAAGAAGAUAUCGCGAGAAAUAGUUGAGGAUCGAACUCUAUCUCAAAAGAGAAAUCGAUGUUUUACUACUAGUCACAAGCUUUAUGUUCGGCGCAGUACUCAUACUGGAACUUACGAGCAAGAAUUGCUCUAUCAAUCACCAUCUACUUUAGACAUAUCUUCUUCAACUUUUUGAAAAUCCAAAAGUCCAGUAUCUUCCUACAAAUUAGUGAAUUUGCAGCAUUCUGAAUUCAUAAUUCGAACUGAUCAGCACAGUCUCGUGCAUUUAGAAGAUCAACGACUACACCUUGGCAGCAGAAGGCCUUCACUAAGUUUCUUGGACUUCAAUACCGACGCAAGGGAGCCAAGAAUGGAGCAGCUGAUGCUUUGUCCCGACGCAGCCAUAGAGUCGAUCUUGCAGAUAGGCGGAGGUAUGAUUGCUUGCUCCUUGCAUGUGAAGGUGGGAAACAAGGAAACAGCAGAAAUGCUUACUGGGACAUAGCCUUCGGUACGAGUUGAAGGGAAGAGGAUUGCUUGGAACCUCUAAGACAUGGCACCCCUGCCCCUUCCCGGCUACUGGAUCACUCCAGUGCUUCGGGUACUACGGACCCUCUGCCAUCCAUUGCAGCAGAGCCGUUUCAUGAGCGGGGGGGCUAAGCGCAGUUCUUUGAAUCAAAGGUUUUAUGAAAUCGAAAUUGAUUCUUUUUUAGAUAUCUGGAUAGAUGGAUGGGGCCUGGGAGUGAAUGUGGAAGCUUAACACUAGCAACGGGCAGAACAGUUGGUAAAGGAGAUCAUUGGCACUAUGGCGCAUGUAUGUUGAGUUCUUGAAGCAUUGCCGAUAUCGAUAUAUAUUUCUUUGCAUGGGACAGUAGCCUUUUCUGCGGCGGAUCGUUUCCUUUUCUCCAAUCAUAAAUAACCUGAUCUCUUUCUUUGUCUUUCAUCAAAUAAGUACAAGAAUUGCAUAGAUGAGGAUUCGGUAUUGAUCGCUAAAAUGCGAGAAAAAGACCCACGUUUCUCUGUUCGUCCGCUAUCAGAUCAAAACGGGUAGAAGCAGCUUGUUCUUUCGCGCUAGUGCGCUCAAUCCGUUGCUUGUUCCUUUCCUUUGGAUUUAUUAUCAUAAUAGCGUAGACAAAAGGUAGGACCAGAUCAUGCGAAGAACUCUUCGCCCUAUUGAUUAGGAAUCUCGAUUAGAAACCACCAGGCCAUGUCUCCCGAUAAAAGAUGAUCCCCACAAUGGAUGUCAGGCCUUGGCUUCAUAAAAUCUGAUUGGAUCCGCACUAGAGGAUAAGAAUACAGAUAGGCUGACUUAGAAGAUCUUAAAAUUGGCGUAGACAAAAGGUAGGACCAGAUCAUGCGAAGAACUCUUCGCCCUAUUGAUUAGGAAUCUCGAUCAGAAACCACCAGCCUCGAAUGGAGCAUUACGAGUGCAUGAUUGAGUUGUUUAGUAAGCAUGGUUGAUUUUUAAUCAUUUUUUUCCACCUUAAGGGCCCCAGAAACUUCUAGUUAUUCUCCAGUAGGAAAGGUUCUAGUGACAUUGCUGCUAUUGCUGGAAGUCCCGCAGCUUACUGCUCACGGAAACAUCCGACCUUAUGGUCAAGUCGUCCGCCUAUCUUUCUGAUCUCAUUCGUUUGUAGAUCGCAUAAAAAGCUCUUCGUUGUCUGAGAGGGCAGAAGGCAUCAGACUUGUAGUCUAAAUGCUGUGUAUCUGACAUACUUCAUUCUCUGUGCAGGGUACGAUUUCACUAUGGACAUCCUGAUGUGUUCGACAGGAUUUUUAUCUGGUGACUCCCUUCCCCCUUUUUUCCCAGAAUGAAUUCGCCCGACGCGACGAAUCCUGCCCUCCUGUCUUUCUUUCUCAUUGGCCCCGCUGCCGCUACUGCUCGAAAGCAUGACAGCUCCGCUUCCUCGUCUUGCUUCUACUUUGCUUGUUUGCGCGAAGGCUUAGAGUCCUUUUCGCUAGGUCCAAAUUCGUCAAAGUCGCCACGACGACUCUCCGUCGUGGAAUUAGACCAAGGGUCGAAGACCUAUACCAUAGGACCCCGUCCGAUUUCAGAGCCCACUUUAUUAAAAACUUCGAUUUGAAGCCGAGAACCCACCUAAAAACAAUCAUUUGACUAAAAAAUUCGUUGGAUAGGUGCAUCACGAAAUCGGUACUCAAUCCCUUGCUUGUUCGUGGGAUGGGAGUAUCUCCUAUUAGCGAUGCUCAGAUUUCAAUGGAAGGAAGAUAGUUAUUCCAAUCACUUUUCUCGAUAGGCAGGGCGGGACUCAAGAAACCUGCGUACGGCAGGGCUAGGUUACCAGCGUACGGGCAAGAGAAAUUUUAUCUUCUCGUCAGGUCAUUAGAGGCUCCUCUGGAGGCCAUACAAGAAGGAUCCUUAAUUCAUUGCAAGGCAUUCUCCAAUCCCCAUUCACACUCUCCUUAUUCAUACAUCAGUUCAGCUACAACAAAGAAGAUAUCCUCCCAUUGGUUAGUUGGCUCCCUGUAUGGUUGGUACCUGCUUUCCCGUAAGUCUGUACGGAGAAUCAAUAAAGGCAUCCGCAGUGGAAUCAAACUCAUAAGGGACAGGAUCACCACCAUUCGGUAGACCAAACACCCUAUGAACACUGCCGGCAUGAGAUAUGAGUCGUUAGAGCACAUAUCUCCGUGAUCCCUUCCACAGCUAAACGUAGAUCUCUAUCUUGUAGUGGAGUGUAGAGUAAAGAUAUACCGGAGCGGAGUGCAAGAAGGUUAUAGGGGAGUGUGGCGCCCGCUUGCCCGCCUUUCGUCUCGGUUGAAAAACAAAACCGUUGCUUGCUUUGUGGCCCUAUCGCUUAAGGUUCCUUUUGAGUACGAUCAUAUUAGUGAGAUGAGGCAUAUCUAGAUCCAUCUGAAUCGAACACCCAAACUCAUACCUAGAUUAUAGGAGAGAUCGACAUCUAUAUCAGGGUACACCCAUCUUUCCAAUCAAUUAAAGAAUCGGUGGGUACUAGACUAGAGCCAGGAAUCGAAAGAGAAAUAAAUCGGGAACUUCAGUACUGCAGGCUGAGGACAGUGGUUAAAGAGAGUCAGGGAAUUAUUGGUAGCAUCAAGUUUUUUCUUCUAAUUUCUACUAUUUCUUCCAGGAUCAAAAAUAUUUUACUUGGUUGAGCUUUGUCAACAGAUUGGCAGUGAAAUAGAAACUUUUCUAUGGUGAAAUAUUAGAGAAUAACUAUAUAAAAUAAAAAAUAUCUCUUUGAGAUUUCCCCGCUGGCGCUCGCUCAAUCCGUUCACCAGGGUUCCUUUCCUUUCCUUUACGGUCGAGCUACUUCUCGUUCAUCAUCAAGUGGUUUCAAUUAUAAGAAUAAUUAUACUAGUGAACUAACAAUUUGGCUUUUCAAAGUUCGUUUAAGAAAAUGCAAUGAAAUGUUUAGCAUCUAGUUUAGUGGGUGCUUGCCUAUGGUUCCAUUUAUUAAUUAAUCAAACCAUUUCCUUUUCAUGCCAUCCAUCGAAUUUAAACUUUAUCGUUAUCAUUGGCUGGAAUGAGAAUAGCUGCAGGAUCCAGAUCACCAUUUGUUGUAUCAUAGUUGGAAUGGCUAAAAUAAGACAUUCUUGAAGAGCUAUAUAUUAUUUUUGCUGAUCAAUGAUGAGCACAAUAUCAGGUAACCCUUUUGGAAUGAAAAACUAUGACUUCGUAGUUUUCGUUAGUAGAAACCUAAUUCAUUAAAAUUCCGUCCAGUAAAACGGAAGAAUUAUAAAUUUCUAAAAUAAUAGAUAGGAAUACCGCGAAUAAAGCCAUUGCGACCCCCAUAAAAGGAGUAGUCCCCCAACCCGGAGCUACUUUCCCAUAUUCCGAAUUAAUUGAUCAUAACGAUAUCGUGGAAAUGCUGCACGGACCCAUAUAUAUAGAAACAGAAAAAGAAGAACCUUGAUACUAAACCAGAUCGAACAAGGGAUCUUCUUGGAAAUGGGAAGAUCUAGGAUAGGCGGCCAACCUCCUAGAAAGAGCGAUGUGCAUAGACCGGGUGAGUAGGGAUGCAGCUCCGUGGACCGCUCGUCGGGCCUGAUAGGUGGUGGUAUCACACCCUUCUCCAAGGAACCGUACGUGAGACUCUCGCCUCAUACGGCUGCGUCCUGGAAUCUGGACAGUUUUGUCUUUUGUGCCGAAGCUAUUUAUAAAGCACAGGCCGAAACCGGUGAAAUUAAGGGGCAUUACUUGAAUGCGACUGCAGGUACAUGCGAAGAAAUGAUUAAGAGAGCUGUAUUUGCGAGGGAAUUAGGGGUUCCUAUUGUAAUGCAUGACUACUUAACCGGGGGAUUCACCGCAAAUACUAGUUUGGCUCAUUAUUGCCGCGACAACGGCCUACUUCUUCACAUUCACCGAGCAAUGCAUGCAGUUAUUGAUAGACAGAAUAAUCAUGGUAUGCAUUUCCGUGUAUUAGCUAAAGCAUUGCGUAUGUCUGGGGGAGAUCAUAUCCACGCUGGUACAGUAGUAGGUAAGUUAGAAGGGGAACGCGAAAUGACUUUAGGUUUUGUUGAUUUAUUGCGCGAUGAUUUUAUUGAAAAGAUCGUGCUCGCGGUAUCUUUUUCACUCAGGACUGGGUAUCCAUGCCACGAAGCAGCUUCUCUAAUAACCCCGUUGAAUAGGAGGGCGAAGGCUUUUUCGAACUUAUUUAUAGAGGGGGGCUUCGACCUUCUUAGGAAGAGCCGUACGAGGCUGCUCACAUACGGUUCGGGAGCCGAGCCACGAGUCCAAUUUGAAGUUGUUGAUGUUUAUAUUGGUCAAUCAUAAAAUAGAAAUAAGAAAAGAAUUUAUAUUUAUUCUGAUCAAACUUCUUCCCUAUUAACCUGGAAGUUCUUCUGAGAUACAAGGAAAUGGUUCGUUUUUUUGCUUUUUAGCAGUAAUCAGAAAGUUAGCUCUUUUUCCAGACCAGUGGCCUUGGAGUUCAUCCCCGUCCUCUGCCAGGUGAGAAGGAAGAUGAGAGAUAUGUUCCUUAGAAGUCGUCUUCAACUUUCUUCCAGGAAAGCCUUUCACCGAGUGAGCAGCAGUAAGAAAGGGUUUAGCUAAUGGAGAAAUUGACUCUUCCGAGAACCAGUAACGCGUAAACCAUGUCAAACCAAGACCGAUCAAUAUCCGAACGGAACGGAUAUACCAGUAGUAGAGUGGCUUGAAUCAAAUCGUUUGUCUAGAGGGAGUGUAGCGAUAACCAAAGCUGACUGUACUAGAAACUUUAGAUCCUGUCCGCUCAUAGCACGAUGGAAUUGCGCAAUUGUAGCCCGACGCGCUGCUUCAAUGGCUCGAUAUGAAAGACGACCAGCUCUACAACUUUUGGCCGGCAAAGAAAACCAACACUUAAGACGCUAUUGGAGACUAGCGUAGCUAUUAUUCGAAGCUUAUUAAUUUCUUUACUGCGUUCAAGGCAUGACCGCGUGAUAGGUGUCCUUUUCCCCCUACUCAAGAAGAGUUACAUCUAAGUUCCGAUCGUAAUAUGACAAACAAAUCUUACUUUUUCUUUCCCAAGCUGGCGCGGCUCGGCAAAAGUUGGUUCACUGACCAAAGACGACUUCUUUGUUCUUCAGUAGUUUCCUCCUUGACUAAGCACAUGCUUAAAGAUUUAAGUUCUAAAUAAUUCUAGGUAGCAUAUAAGAACGAGACCUAAGCUAUAAGCCCUAUAAAAGACUGUGCUGAUCGCGCAACUGAUCAUAUCCAGCGACCAAGCAGAUCAACUAGAAGGUCAUAUGUCCACCCGCCCUUUCCUUUGAGAAAUCCUAUUCCUAUCGAUUUAGCUGCAUAGGCAAUACGACAUUACUAUGAAUAAAUGACGAGCGAAUGGUGGCAGUACCAAAUGCCGAAUUAGCGGCUGUACCAAAUGAUCAAUGCCUCUGGGGUUUCCCUUCUCUUCAGCCCUUUUGCUCUUCUAACAACAAUGGUGAACGGCCAUUUGUCAAGGCCCCGGAAUCCGCUGGACAUCCCAGCGGCGGGAUUCGAUACCCGCAUCAGAUCGAAGUGCGGGCUCACUGAAAACCAAACUGUUCGUAUUUCUUUAAAACGCUGCUGCCCUAGCCGGGGGUCUGUCUAUAGAAGAAGGGAAUCCAGAGGAAGAAGCAGCUCCCCGAAGGGUUACCGAAAACUUUGUGAAAAUACUUCUACGAGAAGGUUUUAUUGAAAACGUUCGAAAACCAUAGGGAAAGUAACAAAUCUUUCUUGGCACGUGCCCCUGCUCCUGGUCUUCGAACUAGUCAUUAAUGGUCGGCAACAUAGGUACCCUUUUUCAGUAUGCGUUGCGAACACUUUCAUUUUUAGCGUCUCAUCUUCUCUGGAGAAGCUCAAAUCGGCUUGGGUGCAUCAAAACUUGCAAUACGAAGAUCCCUUUCAGAUCAGCAGGAGGAGCAGGUUGCACCACUGGUUGGGGAGGAAUUCGCGCAGCGGUUUCGAAGACUGAAGCACUUCUUGCAAGUAUCAACAGGUCAGAAUGCCAAAUAAGAGUUUCUUGUGGUCGAAAUCAAAUGGUAACCAGUUUGAGGGGUGAUUGAUCACUAAGCGACAUAUGGCACGAAAAGGAAAUCCAAUUUCGGUAAGACUUGAUCUGAAUCGUAGUUCAGAUCCAAGUCGGUUCAGUGAGGGCGCCCCGACCCAUGUUCAAUCACUGAAGUGUGGUUGAGUGAGAUGAUCCGCAACCAACAAAUGAUUUGUCAUUGUCUCUAAAUCACUGAAUGAAUUCGUUUUUUAUUUAUAUAUGAGAACUAGAGAGUUCACUAGCGCAGAAGGGGAGACCAGAAAAUGCCUUUUGUUUUCCCCCCUUCAGCGGCCCUAGCCGCCUUCGUUAACGAGCCCUCGAGCCUCCUUUGCGCCGCCUUCCUCAUAGAAGCCGUUGGGUUGACCCCGAGGGCCGAAUUCAAUGGUAGAGAAGGCUUUAAUAAGAAUUUGGCCAUGAGGAUAGGCUGGCCCUUACGUAAGGACUAUAUAACACCCAAUUUCUAUGAAAUACAAGAUGCUCAUUGAAUGAUAAGAAAUUCAUGCUCACUUAUACAACACAACUCCUGAUUUUAUUCAAGUCAUUUUUUGAGCAACUAACGCGAAAGCCGUUGCGCGUUAGCGCAUUCGGAACCACACAUUUUUAUACGAUUUUCGGAUCAUUUGAUUUUCAUUUUGAAAACUUUAAAACCUUAUCAGAGAGGGGCCACUAAGGCUGGAUGUUGGCUUCAAGAAAUCUCCUUUAGCAGAUCUCUAGACAGAUGGAUCUUAUAUGAAUCGUAUGAUGAAGUACCACAUGAGUGGAUAUAUAGGAAAGGAAUCCAAAUCUGCCGAAUCGCUCAUGUUAUGAUCUUCUACAUCCAAGGUCUCCGCGUAUCUAUAGCACUAUUCCUCAAUCCACCCGAAGUUAGAGCUAGGCUCAUCGGGCUCGCUUCUCAAUACAAUGCCUUUACCACUGAUUGUUAAUAGAGGCUUCUCAGAAGAAGAACAACAAAAAGUUGUUUCGAAAAAUUCAAGUACCGGCCACACUUCAGUAUCCAUAGAUAUAGAUAGGGCGGAGGCCUUACUACACGAGCUCGUAAGUCAAGCACGGAACGAGCCUUGUCUACGAAGCUUCGCUUCAUCAUCUUGCUUGCUUCUGGCGAAGCUUAACGCACUAUAGUCAGUGAUCUUUUCCAAGGUGUCUAGAGAAACCUGCUUUGAAAAUGUCAUUCGUACCCAAGGAAAGUUUUGGCAGGCAUUACUGUGAUCUUGAAGCCCUUGCUAGGAGCUAGUCGGUACGGCUCACUACUAAAGAAGGUUCUGGCAUGCUUCGAACCGUCUACUUUUCCUUAUCCUUAUGGGAAUUUAAGAGAGAGAUCACUCCACUGAGUAACCGAGAGAGAAGAUUCAGGCAAGUAUGCCGUGCCCUAUUUAAAAUAGAGGCAACGAACGGAGCGUCCCAUCGACUUUACUUUGGCCAAUGAGACUACUAUACGCGUUUUCCGAGGAGCAACAUGAUACUUUCUUUUCCGAGACAACAGAGUUUAGAAAGAUGGAAGCAAAUCAAAGCUAAGGGAAUCUUACUCGACCGAGAGGAAGCGAAGCGCAGACUGGAAAGCAGGAGUUCAGUGAAGUAUGCCUUAGCUAGUUCAAAUACAAAUCUCCCUUUUCUUCAUUUUUGCAUUUCUUAUUCCGCUAUUCCGAAUAUCGCAAAAAUAAAUUAGACAAUAAAUAGAGAAAAGUGCUCACCCCUCCUUUCUCAGUGAGAAGAAUAUUCCCACAUAUACAUGCGGAAGUCGGUCGAGAGCACAGAGCCGGCAGGAGUACUUUGCAAGUGCACCAAUGCCAAAGCUGGACCUUCCUGUUUUUGCUGGUAGCAACCCAGGUGUACCAGGUUUGGGUCAUCGAUAUGGAAGCAGCUAGCUCACUUUCGUUAAAAGCAAAGAUGAUUAUCCACCGUUAGUUAGUAAUGUGGGUUGGCUUGGAUUACUUAGUGUUGCGCGCCUAGGAGGGCAGCGCGCUUGGGGUGCGGAGGAGCUAUUAUCGCCCAGCUCCCUAACCUAAUGCGGCGCGGAUAAUGGUUUGGUAUGUAAGUACUAUAGUUUGGUAGGUUUGAAUUGUGUGGCCAGGGGUAUUGGUUACGAUUCCAGUGGUCUUCAGGCGAGUUGACAAAACUACCCCUAUGCGCAAAAAAUGAAGCUGAUGUGGUUGUUUUGAAUCCAAGAGUGGUGAGUCCAAUCUGUAACUCCAAUUUCCAAUACUGAAAAGCCAAGCCUACUAUUCUUUUUACCGGCGCUUCACGACUUACCACAAAACUAGAGCCGGCGGCAUAAGAUGAAGCCCUAGACAUUCUGCCUGUCUGCUUAGACUCUUUCUAAGUAAGAGAGAGCUCGUUCUAGCUUUGUCAAUCGUGGAAUGAGCAGCUCCAUCCUUACUGUCCUGGUGAAUUAAUUGGGUAAUUAAUGAGCACACUGACUCGGACGGAUUUCAAAUUCCUUUUUCCUUCCUUUUUACGCCACCUCCACCCAAUCCUUGAAGAUAUGAAGCAAUCUUUUAUUAAGACUAAGUGAAGGUUGGUAUGGCCCAAUCCGGAAUCUCGAUCAGAAACCACCAGGCCAUGUCUCCCGAUAAAAGAUGAUCCCCACAAUGGAUGUCAGGCCUUGGCUUCAUAAAAUCUGAUUGGAUCCGCACUAGAGGAUAAGAAUAUAGAUAGGCUGACUAAGAAGAUCUUAAAAUUGUCUUACCUGAAAAGAUGAGUUAUUCAAAGGAAUACCUGAAGAAUAGAAUAAACACAUGGCACAGCGGGCGGGGGACUUGAAAUCCUCUUUAGCUUUGCGCGUUGGACUCUAAAUCCUAACAGAGUGGUUCGAUUCCACCUCAGAACGACCUUCACGAAAGUGAAAAAUCUUCGUCCUACCAAAACUGGAUCUUGAAAAGUGUUCAGUGCCCAACAAGCAACGGGUUGAGCGCACUAGCGCGAAAGCGUUAGCACGCGCAUCCGUUUUCUUGCUUGCCUUGCGAAUUUGCAAAGGACUAACGAGAUUGUUUCUAUCGCCAAGAUGAGCCGCUUCGGGCUCAGGAGACUAUGGUGGUCUAUGAUCUAAUAACUGGUGGUGAGACUGCGGCUCAAGUCCACGUCGUGAGAAAGACUGAGCUAUUCUGUACUUUUCUAACCCUUUGAAGGAUGAAGAUGGCGAAGGAGUAUUGAAAAGAAUGAAUCCGGGUUUUAGCGCUCCUUGAAUCUGGCCUAUACGUAGUGUAAGCCGCCUGCGGCUGCUAAAGGCAAGGUAUGAGGGUGAAAGUAAGCGAAGCCGAAGAUGUGUAUGGUGAGUCGAUACUAAAGCAAUCCCGGAAUUUUUCAUUGGAUGGCAGUAAAGAGUCUCCUUCCCGAACCUGAUAUGCGAACAAACAGGGUUAGCGGAAACAGGAAAUGUAGUAAUUCGAGUAAGUCCAACCUUCAAGGAAGAAGGAAGGCAAUCCGUCGCUUGUUCGUUGCAAGUUCUUAUUGCUCCGGAUCCCCGUUUACUAGGAAGAUAAGAAUCAAAAGGAUCGAACUACCUACUCAUUAUUCGGAGAUGAAUCAUAGAACACUAAUCCUGCUUUUAGUACAUUGCUUUUCGUAUCAUCUAUGAGAAUUCUCGUUUCAGAAACUCCUCAAUAUUGUCGUUAUGGCAAUUCUAACCAUGUAGAUUUUAUUACCAAAUUGUAGUUUUUUCUUUUGCCAAUUCCACGCCUCUGUAAAAAAAUGCCUAAAAGGGAGGGCGAGAGUUGAAGUGGAUGGCCCUUCUAUCACCUGAAAGGCUGAAACUCAGGCAUGGCUUUACAUGGCACACAUGCUUUCUUUCAGGCUGUUUUGGCUCGCAAUAAAGCUAGGGUCCUGAUCGAGCAAGACUGCCCCUGUCGGUCCCGAUCAGUCCCAUUGACCGUGAAGCCUGCUCUCGAUUUGUAGUCCCCGUGCAUGAAGUCAGUGGAUUCGAGUGAACUGACCGUACUACAAAUCGACAUACUUGAGAAAGCUUCUUACUAAACCAAAGAAAGGGCAGCUCCAGUUGUGUUGUCGAUUCCCUUCUCCCGAGAGCUUUCACACUCUGGGAUGGGAGUCCCUUCCAAGACUUGACCAAAAGCUUAUCUCUUGAAUCCCAGAGAUAAGAGCGACAACCAGGCGUACCUCAUCUUUCCCUAUUGAAGCAAAACCAGUGGUUUCUUGGUCACGACCAGCUAAAACAAAAGUUCCAUUAAAGAGAGUUUCCACGUGGUAGUAAUAGACGACCAUUUCGCGCGGUUCGGGGGCACUUGAAUAAGCCGCCGGCCCCCGGCUGCGUCUUUACCCCUAUCCAAUUUUCCUCCCAAUCGAAUUGUUAAGUAUGUUUUUUCCCUUUCGAGAAAUGGUGGCAGUACCAAAUGCCGAAUUAGCGGCUGUACCAAAUGAUCCUGGAUAGAGUCUCGCUCAUAAAGGAAGAGGAGCGCGCUAGCGCGGCUCGCUUCGCUUUUCGACGCGGAGCUCGCUGCUGUUGAAGCCUGCUUCUGGUUCUGAAUCACAAGCAAGCCUAAUAAGAGUUUCUUUUCAUCUUACAUGAGUUGGCAAGGAGUUGUUCUUGGCAGAUCUCUCCCCUGCUUUAUUGCGAGCCUUGACAGGUUACAUUGGCAGAAAUAUGGAAACUUCUCUUGGCAGGUUAUAUGGAAACUUCUCUUGGCAUAUGACUUCCAUCUUUCUAUGGAUUUUCUGGUUCUGAAUCACAAGAACCUCAUCCCGGCAGCGAGACUGCGUUCACUCGAAACAAAAAUAGACGAGUACUAUGGUAGGAACGCUUCAACUGCAGAGCCCUGAAUGCGUUAGUGAGGUUCCCUCUAUGAGAGAAAGAGAGGUUGGUGAACCGGCGGAUCCGUUUGCAACUCCUCUGGAAAUAUUACCCGAGUGGUACUUCUUUCCCGUGUUUCAAAUACUCCGUACAGUACCUAAUAAGUUAUUGGGCAUUCUCUUAAUGGUUUCUGUGCCGACGGGCUUAUUGACAGUACCUUUUCUAGAGAAUGUCAAUAAAUUCCAAAAUCCGUUUUUCAACUGGCUCUAAUGCAAAUUUAUAAAAUAAAGAAGAGUUCCGUCAAGCGUCGUAUUAGCUUUGUUUGUUCAGAGCUAUGUACCAUGAUCUUCCCUUCCCCCGGCACAAUGUUUGAUGCUUCUUGGGGCUUCUUUGGCGACCGUGAAGUCACCGGAUGAAUUGCCGAGUAGAUAGAUCAGAUCCGGAUGCUGCAGUUGUUCCGCGGUGAUACGGACUCGACCCGCGGACGACAAUAGUCUUUCUCUUUUUUCACUCGAGCCAUACCGAUGCUUUGGACUCCUUGAUGCCAAGGGAGGUUUAUGAGUUGUAUCCUCCUUACGAGAUAGCGGAAGUAGCAUUAGCAGGAAAAGUAAGCUCCUUUUCAAGCCUUCUCUUUCGUAACCUUUGAUUAGUUCCUUGGAUGCCCUUAGCAAGAAUGAUGCAGGAGCAAUACCAAAGUGUUUCAAUGAAGGAUUACCUUGACUUAGGUCUGCCUCCGGCCUAAAUUAAAUCAACCUAAGUUAAAUGGAGUCUCUAUCGUUCUGCUGCAAGAGUGGAAUAUGAGACUUCAUACACCUUAAAGUUUAUAGAACGAAAAGAAUUUUUUUGGAGGUCCUCAUUACGCCUAGCAUUUAGUGGGCUGGAUAUUUACCUUUGAAACUAGCAAAUCAAUAAGGGUUCUAUUUGAUUAGGCACCUGAAUCGGACUGAACCUGGAUCCAAUUUUAAGGACAAAUCCUGAUGUUGGUAAAAUAUACGUGUAGAUCAAGGCCAAGGACAAUGAAGCAGCCCUCCCCUUGUAGCUGGGGUAGACUGGUAGUAGUUUCACCUAUAAAAUUUUGCAUUUGUGGAAUGUAGGUUGGAACUACCUGUUCCGGGAUUGUAGAAAGGAAGGGCUCCACAGUUGAAACUACCUGUUCUGGCAUUUCCGAAAGGAAAGGCAGGACAGCUAAAAAUAAUUCGCUGUCAGCCGCAGUAUAGAUACUUCGAGUUUUGGUAACUCUGGAAGUAGCGCUACAGAUUGAAGUUUUUCUGCACCCGAUUAUCAGUUCUCGUCGACCACCGUGACGUCACCUAGCUUUAUUCUAAAUUUAUCAUUCUAUCGGUAUGUAUAGUGUCUUUCAUCUGCUUUUUCAUUCAUUCUGCCCACAGCCCUCCACAAACUUUGGUAACUCCAACUUCAACCUCGAUUUUAUUAAUAACUACUUACGAGACCUUCUUUGGUACAUAUCCCUUAUCUCAAGUUUUUGAUCAAACCAAUCCAUUGACACAAACGUAUGCUGCCUUGCCUGAUCUUACUAGAGUGAGUUUCCUUCGCUAACGAGAUGAUGCAUAUUCUCACUCUGGACUAUUCCCAGAUUUACAACCAACAACUAGUCUUAUCUCAUGGGCGUAAAAAGACAUCAUAGAUAACAACUAAUUCUCAUAAAGUUCUUUCGGUUCAAGGGAGGGUUACUUACAAGUGGAGUCUGGCGAGGAUCUUUUGUUUCCUUAAGAACAAUCCUAAUCACAUAUCCAAACCAAAGAAGAUGAUAUUUAUUUGAUAAAGCGCAUUCUAUUAUCGUAUUGCGACACUGCUCCUAUCCCUAACGCUAGCUCUGUUGACUUCAUUCCUUGUCGGUCUAUGGCACUCAUUUAGAUCAAUAAAAGGCCGCUUUACAACCAGGGCGGGUCUCGCUGCCGGAUCAAUGCGCAGGACGCACGAUCUACAAACAACAAUAGAGAGAGCCAACCAAGAACGAAAGAACCUGGAAACAAACCCGCGAGCGAAUACCAAACAGAGUAAGAAGGAGGAAGGGCCGAAGGCGUUGGCAUCCAACAAUGUUGGAUGAGUGGAACAGAAAGGAAUGGCACGGAAAGGGUUUUAGGGAACUAGAAUAAAGAUAAUUAGUUUUCAUAUUUUUCAAUAUAAAUAUGAAUUUAUUACGAAUAGGAAUUAUGAAUUGGUACUAUUAGUAGGGAAGGAAGGGCUUCCUCCCCUCUUCUUCCAAAGCAUACGGCUUUCUAGAUGUAUAUGACGAUCUCUAGACAGAUGGAUCUUAUAUGAAUCGUAUGAUGAAGUACCACAUGAGUGGAGGGAAGGUAUAGUUGAAGGUAUGAGGAUGAGGAUUAGAAUUUCAUUCCAUUGCUUUGUUAGAGGGAGAGGAAGCUUCGAUUGGGGGAUACAAUAAUUCCAAUCUUCUGCACGAUCCUUUGGAGCCGGGGGUUGGAUAAAACACAGAACUAAAUCGACUUCCUUACCAGCAUGUCUGGGAUUCCUGUGGUUCUUACUGCCCCGGUGAAUGUGUAGGUACGAAUGACUAUCAAAGAAAGUGAGACCUGGAAUUCCUCCUUCUAUGCCUCCUCAUCUGUCUCGCCUGCAAAUCCUGCUAACAGCCUAGUCUAUUAGGAAACAGCUGAUUCAAUUGCUAAAACUGCUGUUUGAGAAGGGACUAACGGCACUGGCUCUUUCAAGUCUUUCGUGCGGGUAUACGUUGAGCUAGUCCUCUUACUCCUUUUCUUAGCUCUUUUAGAAAAAAUCUUAUUUUUCAUCGUGUCAGGUCUUGGAUGUAGACUCGGCUAUGGUAGGAUCGACCUAAUUGUGAUCAUUCUCCGCUUCGUUCGCUGAUCUCUUGCUAUUGCUGCAGUCCAUGGUCCGGUAUGGAAUGAACUUAUAAUCUGAUGAUCGAGUCGAUUCCAUGAUUAUAAGUUCAUUACCCUAGCGCCCAUUCCCAUUUUGGGCUGUUACGCCAGAAAUCCAAGGUUCCACACGAGCUCCUGUUCUGCGGCGUGGUGGCAGGACCGCUAGGGGAUUGGCUCCGGGUGUAGGUAGGGUCAAAUCCGCAGGGGUCAUGCAAAUACAUAGGCCCCUUCCCUUCUGCCGAGUUGUUUAGAAGGCGCUUUCCGUUCUACGGUCCCUCGGAGCGAAGGGUUAGGCAGGUAGUACGGGCCCUCUGACUUCCAGCUAUGCGCUGUGUGCGACUCCCGCGAAGCGAAUGAAGGGAAGCUCUUCGAGCUUUCUCCGCCUACUGACUCACUUUUAGGACAUAUUUGUACAUCUUUUGUCUCUAUCCUAGUCAACUGGUACGCAUGGCGUAAAUAAAGAUGACCCGACCACCCCUGUUCACCUUCCUCAAACCCAAUUCAAAUGAUGGCUGUGAAAGUCAGAAUCCUGAUGUCUCCAUUGACAAUAUCGACACCAAACCUUCUCGUAAUUCACAAUGCCAGAAUUUGGCUUAGCUGGAUUUGCGGAUGGCGGGGAAUUCAUUGACUAACUUGGCCUUGAUUGAUGAUCCAUCAACUCGUGGCUUUACAUUGAGAACAAAGCUUUGCUGACCCUUGCUAGGCUCAAGUCAAUUUAUCAAGUUUAGGCAUUUCGAUUUGGAUUUAAAAUAAAACCUUCAAGACAGAAAAAGACUCCCUUUUCUUCCUAUUGAUCUUGACGUCGGAAAUGGUUGGUUUUAAUGCUCGCACAGACGAAAUAGAACACCGGAUUGGACCUUAGCCGCUCGGGAAUAGAAUCCUUCACCACCCCAUUGGAAAAGUUGAUCUUCUAAAUUCAUAUGUUUAGCCUAAAGUACAUAACUUGUGUUCCUCCCUAGUUCUUGCCAUGCCACCUAAUCAAGCCUCACCUCAUUUGUAGUUAUAACAUGUUCAGCUGAAAGCAAACUAAAAAAAAAAGGCACUCCUCAGCGAGGACGCGGGUUUUAAAGUAGGUUCUACACAUUCGAGAAGACCCAGGCGGAUUGGAGUGGUUGUGCGCCGGGGCAAUCUCUGCUUGCGUUUUCCAAUAAGUUCUAUUGCUUUGACACAUUUAGUAUAUAACUGAAUAGAAAACGGAAUAAAAGCGGAUAAGAUAGCGUAUUAGGCCGACAAGUAGGAAGCAUAGCGGGGACAAGUUAUUACCGGUUUGAGGGGACAAUGGUUUUCUAGGUUGUUUCACCAAUCUGUUGAAUUGGAAUGGAGCUCACGACCGUGAAACCCCUCGUUGUUUGAUGGCACCUAUCUUGUUCCCUUCAGGGAGAAAUACUACUCACUUUUCCUCUAUCAAAAAGCCAAUACCGACGCUCGCUUAUCAGCUUACCAGUUCAAACCUCCUUGCUCUGCCUUUUAUACCAGAUGCCUCCUCUCUUAAACCAAGGCAUACUCUACUGGCUUUCCUUCUCUAAACUAUUCUUUAUCUGCUAUCUAUGCUAUUCCAUGCAUACUUGAGCUACAGCCUUUUUCAACCUUUUGAACUGAUUCCGUAUCUAGUUUGUGUCUUAUUAUUAAACUAUUUUAUUUGGUGUGGUGGAGAAGAAAAAUGAAACCGCGCGAUUGAAUCCACAAUUUGACUGAGGACAAGACGCGCUGCUAAUGCUAGUUUCAGUAAGCCUGUCUCUUCUAGAGGAAAGCAAAGCUGGUAAGAAGAGCUCCUAUUUUCAUACUCUAAGCUUGGAUAAUCCGCAUCAAGAAGAUUCGAACCCCUGCUAGAGCCAAAGUAAUGAGAAAAUGACUUGUCACUGUGAAGCUAAAGGGUAUCAUACCCUGGGGAUUACAAAAUAACGAAAAAGUAAAAGUGACCGAGAUGCGAGGGAAAAACUUUUGUUUAACAUUUCCACCUAUUUGUUCGUUUACCAGGUUCAGCACGAAAUCAUAAAUAAGCUCUACCAAGGAUUGCCAUGCAUUUGGCACUGACUUUCCCCCGCCCUUUUUCGUAACAACUCCAAAUAAAGAUGGCACCAAAACGACAGUUACCGCCAUAGACAAGGAUUCAUUUGUGAAUGAUAAAUAAAAGUUACCCAUAUCAAGACCAAAUAAUGGAUCAAUGAAAAAUUGAUCCAAGGGGCUUGAAAUUACUGGUCCGCCGCCUCCAGGGAUAACUAUAUCGCCAUUCCUCCAUUCAGCCCGUCCCUUCCUUCCCGGAAAAAGGCUCUCUUGCAUCUUUUGCUUCCCCACCCGGCCUCUAUUCUAGAUUCACCGUCUUUGGAUGCAUCAGUUUAUUAUGCUUGGAAGCUGCUCGAUCACAAAUACCUAUUGCAUUCUUAGUUGAUUCCACGAUCCCAGGGGAAUCCCAUAAAAGAAUCACUUAUCCCAUCCCAGCGAAUGAUCCUAUACAGUUCGUAUAUCUAUUUCGUCAUUCGGUCACGAAAACAGGGAUUCUGGAACGUAAAUCUGCGAUCACGAAAACAGGGAUUCUGGAAUGUAAAUCUGUGCACGAACCCAUGCAAACAGGCUUAAAAGCAGUGGAUAGCCUGGUUCCUAUAGGCCGUGGUCGACGAGAACUUAUAAUCGGGGGCAGAAAAACUUCAAUCUGUAGCGCUACUUCCAGAGUUACCAAAACUCAAAGUAUCCACAACUCGCGGAUAGAAUUGAUUGCCCGGAAUCACUUAUUGGUUGGUGGUUGGAGUGCAUUUCCUAUAUAUACCUUUUCAUUUCUUGGUUGAAUUCCACUGUUAAUCUGGUUUCGCAAUGGAGCUAGAAAGAUUGGUCAACUACUUCUUAAACCCAAGCAAGCUGGGAGCUCCUGAUAAUCCCUUUUUGGAAAGGAACGCGUCCACCGUACUGGCUAUUUUCAUUUCGUGUAUAACGUAUCUAUCGGCAUGGCGUCGGGCAGGAUGGGAGUUAAUUAGGGUCGAGGGAGCAGGAAAGAGUUUGUUAUUCGCUAUUGGCUUAGUACGGCCUAUACAUAAUAGGGCCAUGACGGUUUUGGCAAGGCCUUGAACUUCAUAUAUCCCUUUUUUACUCAAUCAAGAAUACCGAUAAAGUCAGAUUGAAUCAUUUUUUUGAGCAAGAAAACGGAUGCGCGUGCUAACACUUUCGCGCUAGUGCGCUCAAUCCGUUGCUUGUUUGGGGACAGAAAAAGUUCCGUAAUUGUCCUAUUUUUUCGUUGCAUUUCCUUGUUUUUAACGGAAGCGAGAAAUGCGUAAUUAAUAUAUAGAUGUGAUGAUUCCAUGAAUCUCUGAAAAGGUAGGGGUCAAGGACCUUAUGGGACUGCAAUCGUGCCUGCCAAUUGGGGAAGGACGUGGGCCUGGCAACUGCUCGGCUCUAGUAAGGGAAACAGGUAUGUCUCACAUCAUUGCUCGAAGACUGGAAAAACUGCAAGUUAGCUCAGUUGGUUUAAAACGGCAUAUGUGAGUGACGCGAACUAGCAUUUUGAAUUGAGAAAGCCGGUAGCCGGGGUGUUCGCCCUUGGUCUACGCGGAUCAGGGGCCCAGCUAACGCGUGAAACACUCCGCCUGGGGAGUACGGUCGCAAGACCGAAACUCAAAGGAAUUGACGGGGGCCUGCAAUACUGGACAUUUGGUGAAGGCCGGAUGGGGAUAGCGCUCACCUGAUACUUGGACUCGAAGGGGAGCAGGUCGUGUCUCAAUAUCUUCAGGAGAGGGGAGGGCGUCGCGUAGGCAUAGUUCCAAUGGUAAGCUGAUUCCAGGUACGCCCGUUCCUCUACAUCGUUUGACUAUCAAAGUCAGGUCAAAUGUAGGUGAGUGUUGCGACUCAGUAGCCUACCAUCCAUAUAUAGGGAAUCCAUACCGUCGGCUUGUCGAUCCGGGAUCGCCCAGGAUCGGGUGGAAGGUCGGAGAAGCCAGUCUUCAGUGGUGCUUCCAUGGCAGUUGGAUAGUAGAUCAGAGAGGUAACUCUCGGGUGAGGCAAGGCAUAUUGAGAUUUCAGAGCCCACUUUAUUAAAAACUUCGAUUUGAAGCCGAGAACCCACCUGAAAACAAUCAUUUGACUAAAGAUCCGGUUUUGGUAGGACGAAGAUUUUUCACUUUCGUGAAGGUCGUUCUGAGGUGGAAUCGAACCACUCUGUUAGGAUUUAGAGUCCAACGCGCAAAGCUAAAGAGGAAUCUACCAGUUUUGCAUGAAGAUUCCGGACCUACCGAAUACCUUUUUUAAAAAAGGAUGGCUCAAGUAGCCGCUCUGGAUCUUGCUCGAUCUUCCUUGGCUUCCGUGCUCUUUGACACAACCAUCUUCAGUCUACCGCUCAUGUUCGACGCUAUUAUGGACCGAGAAGAGGAAUCAACGAAAAACCCAGGAAAGAGCUGCGAAAGAAAAGCGUGACGAGCAAAGUCAAGUCUCCUCUAUCAUUAGAAAGUAGCCGAUGGGAGGUUUGAUCUUUCGCCGCUACGGUCACAUCAAUACAACCCAUUGGCAGGUUUGGUAUGUGUAUUCACGAGAGCUCUGCUUCGCUCUAUUCCACCUCCCGGGUGUAUGGAAAAAUCUUUAAAAGAAAUAAAUCAUGCGGUACUUCUUGUUUUAAUCACUCUUCCUUUCCUCCCGGAACUGGGGAAGAACCCUUCUGAAAAGGAAUGGAGGUAUAUCUUUACUCGGAGUGCAACGCAGAGAUAGAGAUCGAAGAGCCGAUAUUUCGUAUGUAGUGGCCAACUACCACACCUAAUUGGUGUUAUGAUUGGUUAAGAUGAAUGAGAAUACAACCAAAUAAAGGUUGUUAAUCCACCUUCAAUAGGGAAAGAAUGACAGGAUAUAAUAAUAUUGCGGAGUCCCUAAAUCGCAGGGAAGCACUAAGAAACAACAUGCCAUUUGAAGCACUCGGAUGCCCAACCACAGCUAUCACAAUCACCCCCCGGAAGGGGGCCUUCUUCGCCUUCCACCUAAGCUGCGCAGGAAUCGCAACCUUUCAGCAUUCAAAUUAUCCACAGAGCUGGAAAAAUCACUCUGCCCUUACAGUUCAAAGCCCUAACCAAGUUCAUUUAGAGUAUGGGGGUUCUUUACAGAGUGGCUUACUCUUCAGAAGGGCUAGACCCUGGGACUCCGCUUUGUUGCUAGCUUUUCGUUGCCUCUCUGAUCUACUAUCCAACUGCCAUGGAAGCACCACUGAAGACUGGCUUCUCCGACCUUCCACCUGAUCCUGGGCGUUCCCGGAUCGACAAGCCGACGGAAUCUACUAUGCGCGAUACGCUGACGACAUUUUGUUUGGGAUUCCCCGGGCCAAAGAGAUAUACCUGUUCCAUUCCAAGUGAAAGACCAGCAGCUUUUAUCUCUAAAUAAUAGCUAGGCAUCAGUUUGAGUUCGAGAUUGAAAAGUCCUCUCAAGUUGACUUUUUAUGGAAAAAUGGGUUCGAUUCCACCUCAGAACGACCUUCACGAAAGUGAAAAAUCUUCGUCCUACCAAAACCGGAUCUUGAAAAGUGUUCAGUGCCCAACACAUCGGUGAAACCGGGGAGAGCUGAAGAGAAGGGAAACCCCAGAGGCAUUGAUCAUUUGGUCACGUUUGUGAUCUCGUAUAUUUCGCUUCUCCGACAUCUUACUUAGUUUCCCCCUCAUCUUUUAGCAAAAAGCCACUCCACAGUAGUAAAGUCUCAUCUUUUGUAUUGGCCGAAGUGACAAUAGUCACAUUGAACCCUCGAAUAUGCUCGAAGAUCUCGAAAUGAUCUUCCAGUUCCGGGGAGAAUUCACAAAACUACUUCCUCUAAUAAAGGAGGAAAGGAGAGAUUUUCAUUAAACCAAAAGCCAACCAAAGAACCGGAACCGAUACAGUCGACUGGUCCAUAGAAUAGAGAUAAAAGCAUUACCACAGGCUCAUUCAUCGAAAAUCAUAGAGACUAUUAAGUAAAGGAUAGAGCAAUUCCUUUUUUUCAAAUAGGAAAGUGGAGGGUUCAAAAACGUUGGUUUCUUGUAGCAAACUUUUAUGUGCUUGUACCUGUCAAUGUAUUGGUAACCCGUGUCCAUGAGGGCACUUAACAAACUAAGUUUGAAUAGAUUACUAAGAAAUAACCGUAGAAGAAAAAGAAAGGAGGUUGCUACAAUUGUGGCAAACCUGGGGCACCCAUGCCGUUCAUUUACCAACGAACUCUAUUUUGCAUAUUUCAUUCUCACGUGCUUAAAUCCUACUCAAGGCUCACUACGGGUAGCGAGCAAUUAACAAAUAGAGACGAGGAUGAGGAGAAAUGACGCAUAUACGGCCGGCCUGGGUCACUCAUGAUGUUGAUAGUUCAAGUGAAUUGUCGUAGUGUAAGGAAGAUUGAUUGGUUUUCUGAUUGCUACUUGGCUGGCAUAAGAAAGAAGGCGCCCCGGCAGGAAUUCUGUAAGCUUGACUUGCGCAUAGCGUUUGGGAAUCAAAGAUAAAAAAUAACUCUAUGGGACUUACGGAUCCAGGCUAGGGUUAGCAAGGAAUUGUUUGAGCUGAUUGAGGAUAUAGAGCUGAUGGAGCUACCUUUGCAAGGGCGCAAAUUCACUUGGAACAAUGCUGUGUCAGCUGCUAAGUUAGACAGAUUCCUUUUUACAAUAGACUGGGGAUUAAAUGUUGUAUACCCAUGCUGUGGUGACUGCCCUUCCUAGAUAUGGUUCAGACCAUGUUCCUUUGUUGCUGGAGUGUGAGACUGAAUCUUGAUUUGUCUAAUAACGGAUAUUGAACGGUAUUCAGCGAGGGCUGCUGUCAUUUCAUUUCUAUCACGUAAUGCAAGAGAGCCAGCAGUAUCCAAGUCGGCAGGGCGUUGAAUAAGCACUACUCUCCUAAUUUCUUAUUUUAACCCAUCCACAAAACAAAAGUAGUAGUGAAUAUUUCAGAGUCUAUAUCUGUGGUUCCAGAAGUGGAAUUGCUAUUCUCGAUUCAGACAAGACACUGAUUUGUUUACGAACCGCUCUUCAUUUUAUAGGAUCUCCCAUUCGUAAAAAAUGCCGUUCCUUCCUUUUAAAGACCAAUCAUUUAUUUCGAUGUGAGAUAUUGGCGGCCUUAUCAUAGUAGCCCUUCUUUCUUGCCAGCGAGAUAGUUACUACGAAGUCUGCGUUGUUGCCAAGACUUACUCAACUCACGACUUUCACCUGCUUCCGGUGACAACUACCACUCUCUUAUGAAUGGCAGUCACACGCGCGCAAACGAGCACCGGCCGCAACAGCAAGGAACUAUGACCAAUAGAGUCAGACACAGCGUCAUACUUCUUUAUCUUGUAAUGGUUGAGGAGUUUCUUUCUCAGAGGGUGCGGGACGCUUGCAGAGUCCGUGCCUUCCAUACCACCACAGGUCAUUCUUGGUCCUCGCGUGGUUGAAGGAGAUGCUGCUGCUGGAUGGAAUGCUUCCGUUCCGGGGCGCCAUGAUCCUUCUAUCAGGAAUAAUCGAGGGCACUGACUGACUGCAUCAAUCAUAGGUCCAGCCUACUACGAGGAUCGCGUAUCCCGUACAUCGUCUUUCUCCCUCCUGGGUUCCCGUGGUUCCUAUGCCGCCGCGUUUCCCGGUCCUUAGCGGACUUGGGAAACGGAAGAGAUCAAAAGCGAGAAGUGACUAGUUGGAAGUUCCUGAAAGCAGGGAAAGGCUCUCCGCCUUUACCUGCCCGUUCUUUCCUUGCCACCAUUGUGGUGCCGGUCUCACCCUCUCUGCUGAGGAAUCAAAGAUCCUCUUCUUCCUGUGUACCUCUAGUGACUCGACUCGUGUCUUGGAGGUCCAAAUGUUCCUAUUUGCCUUUGCAUUUUUGUGCCUCUAGAAGCCUAAAAAAGAAGCGAAAUAGAAAGAUCAAAAAUCAGUUACGAAAUGCAGUAAUUCUUCUUUUUUCUUCUAAUUGAUUGCAAUUAAACUCGGCUCAAUCUCUUUUUUCAGAUUGAGCCGAGUUUAAAUAGAUCUUUCUAUACUAUUAGGGAGUAGAGUGUAUGAAUCUCGUAGAUGGAACACCAAUUUCUUAUUCCCCCUUUUUUCCUCAAAAUUUCUAACUGGUAAAGCUUCUUGUUCCUCAUCAGCUGUUUGAUGGUGUACUCGACCAUAUGACUGAACAACAUGAUCUUGAGCUAUCAUUUGUUCAAUUUGGUCGAUCUGAUACUUAGUUAACUCAUUCAUCUUGAUGUUCCCACUGAUACCUAAUCGAUAACGAAGCUGAAUGGCUUUUUUCGGUCCAAUUCCAUCCAUUUUUGUUGAGGCAAUUCUGACUUGUUCAUCGGCAAGUGAUCUAGCUCCUGAGAUAUAUGACAUUCUUUAUCCUUCUCUUUUCCUGGUCUUCUCGGCUAGAAUCUACAAUGGACUACAGGUCCUUAUGAUGAGUGAGUGGGGGUUGCUCAAUUGACUACACUAUUGGUGCACUCUAUGCUAUCUCCUUUAUGAAUUUCUUCCUUUCUGAAAGUCACCACAGUGGAGAGUUACUAUCGACUUUCUCCAUGUGCCACUUCUAUAUGGGAAUGUGCUAGUAUGGAAAGCCGACGUUGAAGGUUCUAAUUGCUUUUCUGUUGCACUAUUGCUUAACUCCUCCUGUGGAUCUUCCUCAUCCUCACCAACCUCUUCUUCUUAACCCAAUAGCAUGUUUAGUUUGAUUUUACACUGAUGCCCAGGGUAGUAUUUAUCUCCACACUUCCCCCAAAAUCCACACUCCAAUGUGUGACCCCUUUAGUAGAGAGAAAAAGCAGGCGCACUUCGCACUUCAGAAAAUCGUAUAAAAAUGUGUGGUUCCAAAUGCGCUAACGCGCAACGGCUUUCGCGCUAGUUGCUCAAAAAAUCGUAUAAAAAUAAAGCAAUCAAAAGGUGAAGGCAGGGCAGUGGGCGUGGGACUGUAAAUCCUUUUUCAUUCGCUGGGCCUGGGCCCUUUGCACUCUAAAUCCAAACAGAGUGAGUGGUUCGAUUCCACUUUAGAACGAAAGCAAAUGCAAGUGAAACGAGACGAGAAUCAAAGAUUUUUCAGUGCCGCUAAAACCCCUAGUCACUGAUUACAUGCAUGAGUAUUGGCUUUGGCAAGCAAGUCAAGGAAAGAAGAGGAAAUUAAAAGUUCCCUGAGUUUGAUGGUACUAAGUUAGAUGUCACAAAUAGGAAUUCAUGGCCUACUGUAUGCAUGUAUGUGCUAAAAGAAGAUCAAAAACCGGGGAAUCACUUAAUAAGAAAUUCUAACUAUUG